AUUAUAAACUGUAAUUUCAUUUCUCAUAGUAUAUAUACUGGAAAAAGAAUAAUAUCAAUACAUAUCGAAACAGAUAAUAAAUAGAGUUCCUAAAUCGCUAACAAAUCAAUCACUCUGUCUCUCUGUAUAAUAAAUCUCGCAAAAUCGACUAACACAAUCAUCAAUAAAUCAACAUUUAGUGCCUCAAGAGAGCAGCAACGGAGACAAGGAGAGAAGCAGCCACCAAAGCACCGGAUUGCGGCAGAGAGAAUGCCGCUCCGGCGUCAGGUGACGGUGCCGGAGCCAACUCCUGAGCUGAUGCCGCCGUGGAGAAAACAGCAACAACGACUGCGACGAAGAAAGCCUUGAGAAUGCUGCUUUGUACCAUUGCUGCUAGAUUUGCAAGAAGAACUUGAAGGUAGAAAGAGCUUAAUUUGGUUCAGAAAUGGAGAAUGUAGGGAUGAGAAAUUGAUGGUUAGGAGCUGUGAAUUUAUAGGAGUUUGUACGCGUGAAGGAGACAGCUGGCGACAGAGAUUUGAUUGAUGUAGGUAACCGAACAGAAGAGAGAGAACCGGCAGGGCAUGAGAAAGGACGAAAGUUCGUAGUUGGUGCUGCGGCGCUAGAAUAAAGCUGGACACGUUGCACGUAUCUACUGGAAUGACCGAGAGAGAGAACCGGCAGGGCAUGUGAAAGGAGGAAAGUUCGUAGUUGGUGCUGCGGCGCUAGAAUAAAGCUGGACAGGUUGCACGUAUCUACUGGAAUUAGGGGUGUUCAUCGGACGGAUUGGUCGGCUUUUUACUCUUAACGGUUUGGUUUAACGGUUAUCGGCUUUUAAAUGUAUUCAUCCGUUAGCCACCCGAUAAGAUAUCGGGCGGAUUGGUAUCGGGUUAGCUCUUAUCGAGCGGUUUACCGGUUUAAUACCUAAGGGCUCAAAUAUAUUCUGUCCGCACAGCACACACUACAUUGUCCAAUGUCCAGUUCCAUUUCUACUUCUUUUCCUAUUUCAAUUACAUGAAAAACAGUAAAACACUUCUUAAAUACGCAUAAAAUGCCAACAACGAAAGCAUUAGGAACAAAAUAAUAACUUAUAAAAGCUUUUCUUUAAUGCUUUUUAGCCAAUUGUGUUGGCCGUAGCGUUGUCUCGGACAGUAACUGCACAAAAUACAUGCAAUUAGGAGGAACGUAAACUAAACUUUCUCUAGCAACAUAUAAUUUGGAUAGGAUAUUGCACCAAUUGCAUUGUCACACAUAUUCCAAACAAAAUAUCAUUGCUAAUAUUCCCAGAAAUUGUUAGUUUCGUUCUGUAUUUGGUUUGAAACAAUAAANNNNNNNNNNNNNNNNNNNNNNNNNNNNNNNNNNNNNNNNNNNNNNNNNNNNNNNNNNNNNNNNNNNNNNNNNNNNNNNNNNNNNNNNNNNNNNNNNNNNNNNNNNNNNNNNNNNNNNNNNNNNNNNNNNNNNNNNNNNNNNNNNNNNNNAAACAACUGUAUGAUAUAAAACUGAAGUAGCAUAUGCCUAAUUUAGGUCCAACAAUAAGCAUGCUAAUUGUGAAAAUAUAGGUCAAAGUUAACAAUAACUAUUAAAUCUCAUCAACCAAUCUUAUACCUCCCAAAUUGUAAUACAACUACCAGCUCCAUCAGUUCUAAAUUGUGAUGCUAACCUCCUGAUGUCUCCUAUAUCUAUUAUAUGAAAUUCUCAUAUUUUAAAUGAUUAUCAUCAAUUUAUUUACAAUUACAAUAUAGUAAAAUAUAAUGAACAUUAAUAUAUACUAAAAAGCUGAAGUAAUUAUAGAUAUUUUGAAGCAUUCAAGACGCGUGUUCAAUACCUAAGGUUUUUAGUUUUUAUAUUUAAUAUAUAUAAUUAUUUACGUAAAUAUAUAUAUGUGUAUAUAUAUAUAUAUAUUUACUUAAAUGGUUAACGGAUUAUCCCGUUCUCCGUCUGUUAAGCCGUUACCAUUAAGUCAUUAAACUUCGGUUCGGUUCGAUUUUUGAUUUCGGAUCGGUUUUGAAGACCCCUAACUGGAAUGACCUGCAAAACGUUAGACUCCUCCAUGUGCCCGGUCUUAGUUUACUUUAACUUUAAGAAAUUAAAUAAAAAGAAUUCUUUAAGAAUUUUUCUUCUUCUUUUCAUUUAGCUGUUUUUUCUAGGUGAUGUAUACUUCUGAAUAGUGUGUCUUGAAGCUUCACACCGCAAAUGUGUUCUCACGAGAUAUUGUUUAUUUGUGAGCUCGAAUUAAAAUAUAAUUUUUUUGAAAUUUUUGUUUAAAAAUAUAUAAAAAAAUUUAAUGAUCAAAAUAUGUAUAGCAUUUUUUAGUAUCACGCUAUACUUUAAUGAUCGUUUGACCAGUUAAGUAUAACAUUUUUUCAAAUAACGCUAUAUAUAUAACGUUUUUUUUUUACUAAAGCGCUAUACAUAUGAAGUGAGUCCAUAAAUAAUUCUUUUGUACUUAACUGACAUAACAAUAAUUCAAUUGUGUAUAGUAUUUUUUUAAAAGAUGCUACACCUUGAAUAAUUGAUUGAACCCGGAUUGAUUUUUACCUUAUUUAAAGAGGCGAAGGAUUUUGUAAAAUCCAUUAAUAAACAUUUUCAAGUCUUCUCAAAAUUUCUUUGUUAAGUUGUUUUGCAUUUUUUAUAAUGUCUAAAGAGCGAAAAAUUAGAAUUUCAUUAUAUUGGGGGAGGGGGCAAGGUUGUGGUGGCGAAUAACUCAGUAAGCUAUAGUUUAUCGCCACAUUCUCAUGUUAAGUUGCCACUUACAAUGGAAUACGAUAACUUGGUAUCGUUGAUAUGUAAAAAAAAUAAGUGCGACUGAAUUUUCGGUGAAUCUUAAAACAAUCAGAAGAUAUUCAUAUUCUGUGAAUCUGCAAGAGAUUGCUUGUUAUGCUGAGUUUAACAUCGAAAAUGAUGAAACUUUGAGAGAUUUUUGGGUACUCCGAAUGAACAUCGAGCAUUUAUUGUGAUAAAACUAUUAGAAAUGCACGUCAAGGAUGAAGGCGUUCGCAAUAAUGAGGUAGCGCAAAGUAGGAAAAUCUCUCAAUUAUCGGGUGGUUAUUUUGGAGAAGUUUUAGCUGAACAAGUUUAGGUGAAAGAGUUUGGUCGGAUUAAACCCGUCAACCGGGCCGGGUUGACCCGGGCCCGGACUGGCCCGGACAGGUACAAACCGGGACCGGACCGGCCCGAUUUUUAAGGGGCCGGGUGGGCUGGGUUGGGGGGUACGGGGUUAGGCCGGGUAGGAUUUGUAGUGUUGGAACCGGGACCGGACCGGCCCGGUUAGCAAAACAGUGCCUGAACCGGUCGGCCCGGACCGGGACCGACCGGUACAACGGUCAAAAAUUUUUUUUUAAAAAAAAUGAUUUUCUGAUUGGUGGUCCCCACAGGACCGUUGGCCAAUGGAUUAAUUUUCAGAAAUGGCCACUUUUUUAUUUUUUUUGUAUUUAUUAAAUUACAUUAUUAACCCUUCUUAAAAUCUAUAAAUAAUGAAAAGCAUAAUUACGGCGCUACAUCAAAGCCCAGCUAUCAACAAAAAUUGUAGAAUAAUGUAGAUAACAUGUAACCACUACAUAACACAUAAUUUUAUCUGAAAACCCCUUAUGAGCAAACUGUAGCAGUAUUGAACUCAAUUCUCAAAUUAUCAAUCUCUCUCUUCUCUUUAAUUUGCAAGAAUUCAUAUUCUAAUUUUAUAAUUUUAUUUGUCUUUCUUUUCCCGAAUUUAAUUUAUCUUAAUUUCUCAUUCGGAAAUCGGAAUUCGAAGCUUGAAGUUCAAGUGUUCAACAUUGAAAUACUUGCUUGACGUUUGUUCGUGGUAACACCGGAUAUGCGUAAUCAAGUGCUCAAUUUAUUGUCGAAUUCGGUGCACUCUCUCCAACUCUUUCUCUUAUUUAAUAUUUUAAUUGCAUAUUUGAUUUUAGCUUAUAUNNNNNNNNNNNNNNNNNNNNNNNNNNNNNNNNNNNNNNNNNNNNNNNNNNNNNNNNNNNNNNNNNNNNNNNNNNNNNNNNNNNNNNNNNNNNNNNNNNNNNNNNNNNNNNNNNNNNNNNNNNNNNNNNNNNNNNNNNNNNNNNNNNNNNNNNNNNNNGAUAGUAAUGACCCAAUAACACAUGUUUCUGAAUCAUCGCUUAAUUUGCAAGAUGUAGAGAUUGAUUAUGAACAAUUACAAGAAGAUUAUGGAAUAGAAGAUAANNNNNNNNNNNNNNNNNNNNNNNNNNNNNNNNNNNNNNNAUUGAUUAUGAACAAUUACAAGAAGAUUACGGAAUAGAAGAUAAUGAAAUUGGAAUAGCAGAUGAGAUACCACAUACACCUAGUAGUGGAAAUGUUUGUAGUAUUGGAGUUGGAGUUGCUAGUGCAAUAGGGGGUAGAAGACCACCAGUGGCUCCAACUUCUACUCGUAAAAAAAGAAGUCUUGUUUGGAAAUUUUUUGAAAUAAUAGAAGGUACUGAUAGAGUUAAGUGCAAACUUUGUAACGGAACUCUUAAACAUUUGACCGGAGGUAAUUUAGGGGGGACUGACACACUUAUUAGGCAUAUGUCGGCUAUCCAUCCUAUAGAAUGGGGAGUUAAUGGGGAUGGAAGUCAAACAACUAUUNNNNNNNNNNNNNNNNNNNNNNNNNNNNNNNNNNNNNNNNNNNNNNNNNNNNNNNNNNNNNNNNNNNNNNNNNNNNNNNNNNNNNNNNNNNNNNNNNNNNNNNNNNNNNNNNNNNNNNNNNNNNNNNNNNNNNNNNNNNNNNNNNNNNNNNNNNNNNNNNNNNNNNNNNNNNNNNNNNNNNNNNNNNNNNNNNNNNNNNNNNNNNNNNNNNNNNNNNNNNNNNNNNNNNNNNNNNNNNNNNNNNNNNNNNNNNNNNNNNNNNNNNNNNNNNNNNNNNNNNNNNNNNNNNNNNNNNNNNNNNNNNNNNNNNNNNNNNNNNNNNNNNNNNNNNNNNNNNNNNNNNNNNNNNNNNNNNNNNNNNNNNNNNNNNNNNNNNNNNNNNNNNNNNNNNNNNNNNNNNNNNNNNNNNNNNNNNNNNNNNNNNNNNNNNNNNNNNNNNNNNNNNNNNNNNNNNNNNNNNNNNNNNNNNNNNNNNNNNNNNNNNNNNNNNNNNNNNNNNNNNNNNNNNNNNNNNNNNNNNNNNNNNNNNNNNNNNNNNNNNNNNNNNNNNUUAAAAUGUUGCUACAAAUAUAGAUUUCCAAUAACUGAAGUUGCUAAUGCACAUUGUACUGAUCCUAGGCGUAUGUUAACAACUGAUACUUGGGAGGUCAGUAAUAAUGUUGUUAAAUUUUUACAUAAAUUUUAUACUGCUACUGUUAUGUUUUCCGGCGCUUAUUACCCCACUAUUACUAUGGCUUUAGUACAUAUAGCAGAAAUAUCUUUUCUACUAUAUGAAUUUAAGAAGAAAGAAAAAUAUAAGGAUGUUGUAGAAAAAAUGCAAGCAAAAUUCAAAAAAUAUUUCUUUCUGAUUCCUCCGAUUUACUUAAUUGGUGCAGUUUUAAAUCCGUCUAUUAAAAUGUCUGAUUGUCACCAAUUAAUGAAUGCUUUAUAUACUUAUAUGGAGAUUGGGGACACUGAAAGCCCAAAUUUAUAUGAUUCUAUGAACAAGCAAAAUGAACAUUUACAACAUCUAUAUAAUUAUUAUGCAACUGAAUGUGAUAAUACUUCUCGUGCUUCAACAGAUGUAAAUCCCGCUAUGCAAUGUAGCAGUUCUUCUAAUGUAGAUGAUGAAGAAGGCAUUGAUAGUUUUAAUAUUUUUCAACUUUUUCUAACACUCAGAGUAGUAGCAGGAAUAUUGAUGAACUUCAAUUUUACUUGCAGAAGCAAAAGGAGCCUCGCACAAAGGAAUUUUCACCGUUAGGAUGGUGGCAUGAAAAUGCAAAGCAAUUUCCCGUUCUUUUCGCUUUGGCUCGGGAUGUCCUGAAUGUGCCAAUUUCCACUGUUGCAUCCGAGAGUGCAUUUAGCCAAGNNNNNNNNNNNNNNNNNNNNNNNNNNNNNNNNNNNNNNNNNNNNNNNNNNNNNNNNNNNNNNNNNNNNNNCUGAAUGUCCCAAUUUCCACUGUUGCAUCCGAGAGUUCAUUUAGCCAAGCAAGACAACAACUUGGAGACACACGUCAUUCAUUGGGAAGCAAUGCUUUGGAAGUUUUAGUAUGUCUCCGAGAUUGGAUUAGAUCCGAACGAAGAAAUCAAGGAAAGGUAGAUGUUGACAGCCCAGAAGACCAAAACUUGGAUAUAUAUUAACGCAUGGAAACCCAUCCGAAUUUAACACGCCAGAAGAAGGUCAAUCAGUUCAAUAUUGAUUACGAUGAACUUGCUAGGGUAAUGCAAAACAUUUUAUGAUUCCGAUUACUACUAGUUUACUUGUUACAAAAGAUGUAAAGUUUUUAUUACUUAAGAUAGAUUUUAGUUUUUCGAUUUGAAGUUUUGAACUUAAGAAAUAAAGUAGCACUUGCAAUAAGUGCAAUUUUUUCCCGUCUUUUCUUGUGUUCGUUCAAUUAUUACAAAGGAUUAAUAUAAUUAUAACUUACUACAUAUACUUAAUUUCAAAAAAAUUGAAAAUAUACUAAAUCCGGCCCGGUCCGGCCUCUUUCAACCCGUAACCUGUAUGUUUCAAUUUAAACCCGAACCAACCCGGCCCCUUAAGAACCCGGUACUGUUCAACCCGGCGCGGCCCGGACCGGAACCCGGACGGGUCGAAAAAAAUUCGACCCGGAUUGGACCGGUUGAACCGGUAAACACCUCUGGGUCGGAUCUAAAAUUAUCUCCCCGGACGAAUGAGAAGCGAGGAAAUAAUUUCUUCCCUGGUAUACUUAAUCUACAAGUCGUGUGGUAAACUUCAAUUUUCCUUUGUGUUACGAUGUAUAUUUUUAUGUAUUGUAGUUGUAUUAACACUCAUAUAUUUCACAUGGGGUACCGACUAGAUAUGAAAUUUACAAGGUAUGAACCAACGGUCAGUUGGAAUAUGCCUAGUUUUGGUAUGUUGGAUCAUAGUGGUCCAUUCGAGAGUCAGCAUCAACAAGAUAAUGUGCAUCAACACAUUUUGAUUUGUAAGUGAAUAUAAAAAUUUAUAUGUAUUUGGACUAAUUUCAGUAACUUAUUAUUUCUUUGGUUGUGUAGUGAAAAUGAGCAACUUGAUGGUCCUAUCCUCACUUUAGUUUUUGAAGACGAUGUAUUUACUCGGGAUAUAGUAGAUGCGCCGAGCUAGAAGAGAAUAGUGAUUAUGACAAUAAUGCUAAUGAGUCAAGAGAUGACACACCCUUCCCUGGCGAAUGUGAUGAGGAGGAGGAAGAGAAUACCAAACCUGAUUUGAUGAGGGAGCAUGCUCUAAUAGCUCCACCUCCCGUUAGACCAAGAGUGUAUGAGUUUAAUGUAUCAUUUCAUUCAAGACAUAUUCCCUAUCUUGAUCAUUUGUCAAGUAAACUAGAUGUAGAUGCCCUCACAAAGGAUAUUGACGAACUUCAUACAGCAAUAUGGGAUGAAUCUAGACCAACAGUGCUUCAAAGGGCAUGUUUUUUCCUAAUAGGGCGUGAAGCAGGGCGAUGAAAAUGUACAGCAUAAAAGAGUAUCGUGGGAUGACGGUAUGGGAGUCAUCUUCGAAUGUAUACAAGGUUGUUUGUUGUAGAUAGUUUACAUAUUGUAAUUGGAUGUUGUGUGUGUGAUAAAGAAGAAAAUAAAUAUGUAAAAAAUGGAUAAAUACAUUUGCACCCACAAUCGUGAAAUAGACACAUUCAGUGGGAGUCACUUUAACUUGGAUGUUGACUUGAUUUCUCUUCUCUUGAUUUCACACAUUGAAGCAUUCAUAAGAUACAAGAUCAAAGAGUGUAUUAUAUCCUUCCACUUGACAAAUAGACAUUACAUGUGGAUGGUGGUAGACGAUGGGAAACCCUGACUACAGAUGUGUCAUAGUCUUUCAACGGGUUAUUGAAUUUUGUACAUGGAUUGCCAUGGUGCGGAUGUCAUUAAAAUUGAUGGCGAAUAGUUUUUUUGAGAGGCGUAUAGGUGCUUCAGAAUUGAUGGAGAUGGGUGUUUAAUUUAUGCCAAACCCAAUGAAAAGAUUAGAGAAAUGUAGGAGGUGAGCUCGUUGGCAUCCAUUUUUAUAAUAUUGCAAUGAGCGAAAUAUUUUUAAAGUUCGCACUGCCAUCCACCAAAAUUGGGGGAAUAAUAUACACACCGCAAAUAAAGCCAUCAUGUUGUGUUCUUGUGAGAAAUGGUUCAUCUGUCACAUAUCGUGCUCACAUGUCAUCAAGUGCUUUCAACAUACUGGUUUAGGGCCAACCAACUAUGUUGAUAAGCAAUAUAGUAUUGAUGCAUACUUAAAUACAUAUAGUGGGUAAUCGUAGCCAAUGGAUGCUAAGUAUUAUUGGCCGCCAGGAUCAUUUAAAAUAGUGUACAACAAGGAUUAUUUGCAUAAGCUACAAGUGAAAAAAAAGUAUGUGUAUAUGAAACCAAAUCGAUGUUUGUGAUACCAUUUAUGCGCGUAAAUGUAUCAUAUGCUCGUAAAUAGAACACAAACGUCGUAAAUGUCCUUCAGCUGAUUUGGAUGGCGGUGGUAAUCCAGAUCCUUGUGGAAGUUUAGCUAAUGUGUCCAACUAUCAAGGAUACACGUACUGUUUUAUUUAUCUUGUUUGUAAGGUGGUAGUAAUAAGUGUAUGUACUUGUUUAUCUGAAAAAAUAUAUGAAAUAAAAUUAUGUUUCCAUUGCUGUUAAAUCUUAUUGAUAUUUAACAUUAAUACUUCAGUAUAACAAUCUUAAGUAAAAGAUAUAAUAUUUUAAAUUUUGAAGUUAAUUGGAGUAGAUUUGAGUUAUAUUUCAAAAAAGAAGCAGGUGUUUGUAGAUGAAUCUAUAGAAUAGGACUUCAAAUUUUAUAUACAACCUCCUUAUACUAUUUCUAACAGGUAUGAAAAAGUGGCUCACCUGCAAAAAUAACUUUUGGAAAAGUUGUAUUGUACCCGAAACAAUCUUUAACAUGCAAAGUAUAGUGCGGUUAAAUACUACGUUAUGUGAGGUGUCCUGUCGAUGAAAAAAGCUUCUCCCAUGCAAAGUUGUUUUGUACCUGAAAUAAUUUUUAACACGUAAACCAUAGCGCAGUUAAACUCGCUCUGUGGCAUGAUGCUUGACAAUAUCUAGACAUAUCAACGGGACGGAAGAGCUCUACAUAAGUCGUUCGGUCGAGCAAUAAUCGGGCGAGCUAGCUAUUAGCACGUCGUUAUAUGACGUCCAAAUGAACUAUCACGUAAAAGUAGAAAUCGUGAGUAUAUGCAACACAUAUAAAUCUAGCCCAAGUAAACUUAGAUAAUGAAUUACCUGCACGCCCUCCAACAAAUCUCUAAAAUACAGGAGAUUAUGUCGAGCCUCGUACUCACGUCCAUAUCCCUACCUCUCAGCCCACCUCCUAGACAAAGAGAGAAAUGGUGAAGGUGGUGCAUCCUGAGCUAUAGGUGGUAGUGGUGGCUAAGGUUGUUUAAUGGGACGGGUUGGCCCCUCCCGUCCCGGUCCUAUCCCGUAUCGUUUCGAGUUAAAUGAUAUAGGCCAAUGUUAAAUGGGACACUGGAUGGGAUGAGACAACCAUUUCAUCCUAUUUGUCCUAUCAUAUCCCACAUCUCGCCAGAUUUUAAAAAAAAAUUAGCUAUUGGGCAACAGCCUAAACUGCAAAAACAGUCGUUGCCGAUGGCCAUAAACGAUCAAAACAAUCCCCCCCCCCAAAGCACUCCCUACCCCCCAAACAGUUAAUAUAAUUCCGAAGUUUAUUAAAUUAUACUUUGGCCCUAUUUUCUACAAUAAUACCCCCCCCCCCCCCCUUUUUUUUUUUUUUUUUUUUUUUUUUUUUUUUUUUUUUUUUUUUUUUUUUUUUUUUUUUUUUUUUUUUUUUUUUUUUUUUUUUUUUUUNNNNNNNNNNNNNNNNNNNNNNNNNNNNNNNNNNNNNNNNNNNNNNNNNNNNNNNNNNNNNNNNNNNNNNNNNNNNNNNNNNNNNNNNNNNNNNNNNNNNNNNNNNNNNNNNNNNNNNNNNNNNNNNNNNNNNNNNNNNNNNNNNNNNNNNNNNNNNNNNNNNNNNNNNNNNNNNNNNNNNNNNNNNNNNNNNNNNNNNNNNNNNNNNNNNNNNNNNNNNNNNNNNNNNNNNNNNNNNNNNNNNNNNNNNNNNNNNNNNNNNNNNNNNNNNNNNNNNNNNNNNNNNNNNNNNNNNNNNNNNNNNNNNNNNNNNNNNNNNNNNNNNCCCCUAUUUUUCUUUAACUUUUUUUUCACAAAAAAUCAAUCUUAUCUCUCAAAUCUCUUACAUUCUAAUAUUCUAUCUAUAUUAUUCUCUCAAUUUUACUAUUAACUAUCAGGUAUCAAGUGAUAACUUUCAAGUUUCAAGUAUUUGUGCAAAUUUUUUGGAGCAACUUUCAAGCUUCAAAUUAUUUCAUCAAGUAUUUGAAGCAAUAUUUUGGGUAAUUUCUUCAAGUUUCAAUAUUUAAUCACGAUGCACUCGUUCCAUCUCCUAAUUUUAAUAUAUAAUUUUUGUGUAUCAUUUUAACGUUAAUUUUUGUUUUUACUUUACGUGUUAUAUUUUCAUAUUUCGUUUGUGUGUUUAAUUUUUGUGUUAGAUUUUUUAAUUAAUUUCGUAUUUAAAUUAUGGCACCUAAAAAUGUAUUUGGCAUUUUAGAAAAAGUAGUAAAAAAAUAGUAAAGGUAAAAGUAGUAGUAAUCAUAAUCAUAAUCAUAAUUUUAACCCUUCUCCUAGACCUAGAAUUAGAAAAUAUAGUGAUGAAAUAACUCAUAUUAUGAUGUUCAUGUCGGAGAACAACUAGAUCAUGAAACUUUACAAAGAUAAUUUGGCAAUGAUAUUUCUUUUGAGGUUGAAGAAAAUGAGGAAGAAGAAUUAGAUGUAACACCCACCAGUCUUGCAACACAAGCUCCAACUUAGAGUCAAUCUUAGUCUGGAAAUAUACCCCCGGUAAGGGGUAAGCCUAACGCUGAAUGUCCCAAAACAUCAUUUGUAUGAAAAAAAUUUUAAACAUGAUAAAGUCAAUAAUCGUGCUAUAUGUGAAAAAUAUAAGCAAAAAAUUGCGCACACACAAGUGGUGUAACGGGGAAGGGGGUGGGGGGGGGGGUUGGGUUUAACUAGAAACUUAAUAAAGCAUCACAAAUCUUUAUGGAUAAAAGUUAACAUAGAAGUCGGAAUAAUUAUAGGGGGGGGGUGGGGGGGGGGGUUGGGUUUAACUAGAAACUUAAUAAAGCAUCACAAAUCUUUAUGGAUACAAGUUAACAUAGAAGUCGGAAUAAUUAUAGAUCCUACCAUCAAUACUGGCACUCCUAGUGGAUCUGGCGUUAAUCAAAUUCAACAACAACAUGACCCUGCUUCUAGUCAUAUUUUAUACAAAUAUAACAAAGAUAGAUAUCGUGAGAACUUAGCGAAAAUGGUGGUUGUCUGUUUACCUUUGAAUUUUUCUUCUCGCCCUACUUUUGUGCAUUAUAUACAAGAAACUUAUAACCCUAUUUUUCAUGAUUUUCCUAAGACACAGCUAGAAAUGAUGUUUUUAAAUUUCAAAACAAAUAUCUUCAGUAUAUUCGUUGUGUAUUUUUUCACUUAAAUUGUAAAAUAUCUAUCACAUCUGAUAUAAGUCGUAAUCCCGAUGGUUGUGAUUAUUUAACUGGUACAUAUCAUUAGGUUGACCAUCACUGAAACAUGCAAAAACGCAUUAUUGGUUAUAAAUUUGUUGAUUCAAAAUACACUAGAGAAUAUAUUGCAACUACUAUUCCAUAAAUACUUAAUUUUUAUGGACUCAUCAAUAACGUUUUAACUAUCACUUAGAUAAUGCGUGCUAACUCAACCGCAAUAAAUAGCUUAAAAUCUAGACUUUGUCCAAUUAAUCUAAAAAAUAUUAUGUUAGAUGUUCAUACCAUAUUUUUAACUUAGUUGUAAAAGAUGGUCUUAAUUUAUUCUUUGAUAUUUGUAGUAAAAUAUAACAUGCUUAUGGCUAUAUUUUUCGUGCUUAUAAAUAAAGUAAAAUUCGUAAAUUUACUCAACAAUGUGCUAGUGUUAACCUUCAACUUAGAAAAGUUCCAAAAGAUGUUUGUAAUAGGCGGAAUUCUACUUAUGAAAUGCUUAUAGUUGCUUAUGAAUACCGGGUACCUAUCCAAAAGGCAUUUAAUAUGCGUAAUGGUAUCCCCGUUGAUCAAAUUAUUGAUUUUGAUUGGGAUGAGAUCAAAGAGCUUACUAAAUUUUAAGAAAAUUUUUAUUAUGCUACAAAAUAAAUUUUUUGGUUUAUAUAUCCUACUGUUACAUAAAUAUUAUGGUAUAUUUGUGAAAUUCUUAUUGUAUUUGGUAAGUAUAAAAUAAAUCCAACUUAUGCACCAGCUAUUAAUAAAAUGAUUUCAAAAUUUAAAAAGUAUUAUUUUCCCUAUCCCCGAAGUUUAUUUAAUUUCUACUCUACUUAGCUCAUCAUUAAAAUUAAGAGGUACAAAGGGACUUGUUCAUAAAAUUUAUGAGAAUUUAGCAAUUCAAGAAAAUGAAUAACCUUCUCUAAAUAGAUUGCCAAGCUAGCAUACAUACUUAUGGUAGAUCAAUAUUUGACAAAUAUAAAUCUAUAGAUACAACUAGUUGUAAAACUGCUCCUUCUACUUCUAAGUCUAGAACAUAAGUUUUAUGGAAAAAUAUGGAUGAUAUAAUAGGUUUUGAUUCAUCUAUUGAUGAUGAACUUGAUUUUUAUCUUAAUCAAGGAUUGAAAAGUAUUACAGACGAGAACAACUUUUGUCAUGGUGGAGGGAGCGUGGCAAGGCUUUUCCAACACUUUUAUUUAUGACCCGAGAUAUCCUAGCUAUUCAAGCAUCAUCAGUAGCAUCAGAGAGUGCUUUUAGUGUGACAAGAUUUUAUAUUGGAGAUCAUAGACAUGCAUUCACGGAGGAUUGUCUAGAAAUUUCCAUAUUAUUCAGAGAUUGGAUUAUUUCAGAAAGAAGAAAUCUUGGUUUUGAAAAAUUAACCACUAAGGAAGAAGAAGAAUACAAUGAGAUAAUUACCACUGGGAGCAAUGACAGCAUAUGGCUCAUGGAACAUUAAUCAACAUUGCUAAUUCCAGCAGAAUGUCUGAGAGAUAUCAUUGAUAAGUUACAAAUAAGCUGUAUAUGAGCUUACAAAUAUUAGUAUGAUAAUUUAUAAUUGGCUACUAAGAGGCGUAGUUCAAGGAGAACCCUUCCUAGAAGGUGGUUGCGUAGAUUAGGUGCUCUUCAAAAGAAUUAUAUUUAUAUUUGAGAUUUGAAAGUUCUAUCAAUAAAAUAAAAGGCUCUAAGCAUUGAAUUUUUUUUAUGAAUUGUCUUAGUUACUUAAUAGUUAAUACUCUGAAAUUAUAUUAAAUAAAUUAUAACUCAAUUGUAAAUUUAUAAUUACUAGAAUAUUACAUUACAAGUUUUUUUUAUUUUAAUAUUUUAUAAUUCUUUGCUUAGUUUUAUGAUUUUCGUUUUAACAUAGUAACAUUUAAGUUUAUUAAAUAAGUAAAAAAGUUUAGCUGUUGCAAACUUUAAAAACUUAGUAAUUUUCUAAAAACUAGACUUUUUUUAUUAAAAAAAUACAAUUAAGGCCGACGAACCUGUCCCGUCCUGUCUCGUUCUAUUCCGUCCUAUCGCAUCCCGUCCCAUUCCGUUUGUUAGCGGGACAGGAUGGGAUGACUGGUUCAUUCCAUUUGUUCCGUCCCGCCAUCGUCUCGCUUAAAUGUUGUCAUGUCCCAUUUAUUUUGUCACAUCCCUAUCACGAUCCGAAUUUCCCACGAGAGUCAUAAUGGUGCAUAUUAGUGAAAGCUAGGCAAGUCGAUCAUACCUUUUUCCCAUUUGAAUCCUUUUAUAAUUAAUAACCAACAUUAGAAAAACCACAGAAUUUAAUAAGCGGAAGACUGAAAUGUAAUAUUUUAGUAAAGAUACCCAUAUCAAUCCAUACAUAAACUACCUAAGACUGGUGUCACAAUUUCACAGACGGUCUAUGAAUACUACAAACAAGGAUCCGAAAAUAAAUACAAGUUGUUCUAGAAAUACAUAGAAGAAACAGUAGAAAAAGAUAGAAGGAAACGCCAAGGCCUGCAAAUAUCUGCAGGACUACCUCGGGUCGCCUGAAUAAGCUGAAGACAAAGUCCUCACUACGGUCCAAACGCUCUAGUAUCAAUAUCUGCACAUUGUGCAGAGUGUAAUAUUAGCAAAACCGACCUUAUGUGUUAGUAAGUGCCUAGCAUAACCUUGUGACGAGGCUAGGACUAGACUGCCAAAUAAACCUGUGCAGUUAAAUCAUAUUUAGCGGAAAAUAAAAUCAGAUAUUCACUGUUAAAGUUGGGGAGGGGAAGACAUGCUAUGUGGAGUAUCAUAUAACAACAAAACACCAAAGAGGAAUAUAAAGAAACCAUAAUUUAGCUGCCAAAAAUAAUGAGGAAAACAAACACAUUAUAUUCACUUUAAUUUCCUUCUUGCAGGCGUGCAACCCGCUCCCUUUUUAUAAAUCUCGUUACAGGCAUGCAACCCAUUACAGGCGUGCAACCCGCUCUCAUUUUAUAUAUCUCGUUGCAAGCGUGCAGCUUGCUCACAUUUUAAAUGUCUCGUUGUAGGCGUGCAACCCGCUCCAAUUUACAAUUCAACAUCAAUCACAAAGAAUCCCAACAAAGGAAAUAAUAUCAUGAACAAUAACAUCCUGGAAAGGGAAAACAGUGUCAUAAAAAUAAUAUCCCAGCAAGGGAGACAAUAUCAUAACCAAUAAUGUCCUGACAAGGGUACCAACAAUGACAGACGGCAUAUUAAGUAUGAAUAAGUCUCAACAGAGUUACAACAUUUACAUCACUAAACCCAUGGGCAUGCUUGACACCGACAUAUAGAUACUCGUCACCAUGCCUAUACGUCAUACUCCACAAUUAACACAUAGCAAAUAAGAUACAACUCCUAAUCUCUCAAGCUAAGGUUAGACUAAACACUUACAUCGAUGCCACGAACACAGUUGAAGCCUCAAUUACCGCUUUACCUCUUGAUUCCACAACUAAUUCGCUUGUAUCAAUCCACAAGUUACUUAACUAUAUCAAUAAAUGCUAAAUUAAUCAAUUCUAAUGCAUGACAAUAGAUUUUCUAAAGUUUUAUCCAAAAAGUCAAAAAUCGACCCCAGGCCUACACGGUCAAAAUCUGAGGUUCGAACCAAAACUCGAUUAGCCAUUCACCCACGAAUCCAAAUAUAUAAUUUAUUGUAAAAGUGGACCUCAAGUCAAGGUCUAAAUCUCCAAAAUUUAAAAACCCUAUGUUCUACCCAAAACACCCAAUUCCCCCCAUGAAAACCUUUGAUUUUGAGUUGACAUCAUGAAAAACAAUGUUAAAGAUCAAUAAAAAAUGAGUUAGAAAUGACUUACAAUUGAUUUAGAGAAGAAAUGUUCUUUGGAAAAUUGCCCAAGAGAGUUUAUGUUUUGAAAGGGUUCGAAAAUGAAAGAUCUUCGGCUAAGUUAUGAAUUUGCAGGUCGUAGAUGUCGCAAUUGCGAUCAGGGUUUGCAAUGCCUACUAAUCUUGCAUUUUCGAUCACUGUUCCCAAUUGCGAACUCGUAUUAGCGAUGGGAUAGUCACAUUUGAGAUAAUGAUUAUUUCUGGGAUAUUUUGCAUUUGCGAUGAAAUGAUCGCAUUCGCGAUUAGGCCUGCCCAACCCUUCUCUCGCAUUUGCCAGCCAGGCUUCGCAAAUGCGAAGUCUGCAUACUUGCAACAUCCCAACUUCUAAGUGCAAAUUUCACGUUGUGGCCUCUCCAAAAACUCAUCCGAGCCCUCAGGGCUACAAACCAAACACGCAUACCAAACUAAAAGCAUCAUACGGACUUGCUCGUGCAAUCAAAUCAUCAAAAUAACAUCAACAACUAUGAAUUGAACCCCAAAUUCAUGAAAUCAUCCAAGAACACCCAAAAUUCCAAUUUCUCACCUUUAAGUCCGUUUUAUACCAAUUUAAUUCCGAUCUUUACCAAAUUUUAUAGAUUCAGUAAAAUUAUUAUUUCAAACUUAUACCGUGCUCUGGAACAAAAACACGGUCCCGAUACUAUCAAAUUCAAACAUAUCACAUUUCUAAAAACUCAUAUAUAGAAAAUAAUUUUCUUUAAAAAUUCAUUUCUCAGGCCUGGGACCUCGGAAUUUGAUUCCGGGCAUACGCCCAAGUCCCAUAUUUUGACCCUCUGAGACAGUCAAUUUACGGGUCUGGGUCCAUUUAUCUAAAAUUUUGACCAAAGUCAACUCCAAUUCACUUUAAAAGUAAAACUUACCAAUUUUCACAAAUUUUCACAUAAUGGCUUUCCAGAUACACGUCUUGACUGUGCACGUAAAUCUAGGUGAGACAAAUAGGAGGUUUUUAGGCCUCGGAACAUAGAAUUUAUUACUAAAAUAAGUGAUGACCUUUCAAAUCAUCAUAUUCUCCACCUCUAAAACAACCCUACAUCCUCGAACGUACAUAAGAAGAAGGUAUCUGAGUCAGAGAAAAGAUGUCUUAGUCAAUGCCUCAAUAGGCUAACCUCUCCACCGAACACGAACAUAAGGGAAACUCUUCGAUCUCAACUGACGAACCUACUGGUCUAGAAUAGCUAUCGGUUUCUCCUCAUAUGGCGAGUCCUUGUAAAACUGGACAAUGUUGAAGUCUAACACGUCGGAUAAAUCGCCAUGAUACUUCCGAAGUAUGGACACAAGAAACUCUAGAUGAAUGGCUAAUAAGCUCGACGGCAAUACAAAUUUGUAGGCCACCUCUCCACUCGAUCAAGAAUCUCAAAUAGACCAAUGAUCCUAGGGCUAAGCUUGCCCUUCUUUCCAAACCUCAUCACACCCUUCAUAAGCGACACCUAAAGCAACACUCGCUCGCCAACCAUGAAUGUCAAAUCACAAACCUUACGAUCGUCACAACUCUUUUGCCUGGACUGAGCUGUAUGAAAUCUAUCCUGAGUGAUGCUGACCUUAUCCAAGGCAUCCUGUACUAGAUCUGUACCCAACAACCGAGCCUUUCCCAGCCCAAUCCAUCCAACCAGUGACUGACACCGCCUACCAUAUAAAGCCUCAUAAGGAGCCAUCUAAAUGCUCGACUGAUAAUUGUUGUUAUAGGCAAACUCCGCUAAAGUAAAAAGUUAAUCCCAUGAUCCUCCAAAGUCAAUAACACAAUCUCGGAGCAUAAUCUCCAAAAUCUGAAUAGUCUGCUCGGACUGCCCAUCCGUCUGAGGAUGAAAUGAUGUGCUCAACUCAACCCGCAUGCCCAACUCAUGCUAAAGUGUUCUCCAGAAAUGUAAGGUAAACUGCGUAGCUCAGUCUGAAAUGAUGGACAUUGGCACACCAUAAUGACGAACAAUCUCCUAGAUAUAGAUCUCAGCUAACCUCUCAGAAAAAUAGAAGACUGCCAUAUGAAUGAAAUGCGCUGACUUAGUCAGCCUAUCAAUAAUAACCCAAAUUGCAUCAAAUUUCCUAUGAUCUGUGGGAGUCUAACAACAAAGUCAAUAGUGAUACGCUCUCACUUCCACUCGGGAAACUCAAUCCUCUAAAACAAACUACCAGGUCUCUGAUGCUCAUACUUUAUCUAUUAACAAUUCAAACACCGAGACACAUACAUAAUAAUAUCUUUCUUCAUCCUUCUCCACCAAUAAUGUUGCCACAAAUCUUGAUACAUCUUAGUCGUGCCCGAGUGAAUAGACUACUGGGAGCUAUAGGCCUCCUCUAAAAUCAACUCUCGGAGCCCAUCCACAUUAGGCACACAAACUCGACCCUACAGCCUCAAAACCCCAUCUUCUCCUAAUGUAACAUGCUUAGAACCACCCUUAUAUACCGUGUCUAUGAGGAUACACAAAUGAGGAUCAUCAUACUGUCGAUCUCAAAUACACUCCAAUAAUGAAGAAUGAGCGACUGUGCAAGCUAAUACACGGCUGGGCUCAGAAACAUCCAACCUCACGAACUGAUUGGCCAAAGCCUAAACAUCUAAAGCAAGCGGUCUCUCACCAACUGGAAUGUACGCAAGACUGGCCAAACUGGCUAACUUCCUACUCUAGGCAUCAGCCACCACAUUGGACUUUCCUGAAUGAUAUACGAUGGUGAUAUCAUAGUCUUUCAACAACUCCAACCACCUUCUCAGCCUCAAAUUCCACUCCUUCUGCUUGAACAAGUACCGCAGACUCUUGUGAUCUGUGAACACCUCAUAUGCCACUACAUACAAAUAAUGCCUCCAAAUCUUCAAUGCGUGAACAAUGGCUGCUAACUCCAAAUCAUAACUCCGGUAGAUAUUCUCAUGAAUCAUUAACUGAUGUGAAUCAUAAGCAAUAAACUUCAUACUGGUUGACUUCCUACUCAAAGCAUCAGCCACCACAUUGGCUUUCCCCAGAUGGCAUAAGAUGGUGAUAUCAUAGUCUUUCAAUAACACGAACUACCUUUUCUACCUCAAAUUUAGCUCCUUCUGAUUGAACAAAUACUAAAGACUUUUGUGAUCCAUGAACACCUCACAUGCCAUGCCAUACAGAUAAUGCCUCCAAAUCUUCAACACGUGAACAAUGACUGCUAACUCCAAAUCAUGAAUCAGAUAGUUUUUCUUAUAAAUCUUCAACUAACGCAAAGCAUAAGUAAUGACCUUGUCAUCUUGUAUCAAAACCGCACCAAGUACAAUACGAGAUGCAUCACAAUAAAUUGUAUAUGGCCCUGGACAUGUGGGCAAAACCAAUACUGGUGCCGUAGUCAAAGCUAUCUUGAGCUUCUGAAAGCUCACCUCACACUUGUCCGGCAACCUAAACUGGCCACCCUUCUGGGUCAACCUACUCAUGGGGGCUGCAAUGGAUGAAAAUCCCUCAACAAACUGACAAUAAUAGCUUGCCAAACCCAAGAAACUCCGAAUCUCUAUAGCUGAUGCAGAUCUAGGCUAGUCCCUAAUUGCCUCAAUCUUCUUUGGAUCUACCUGAAUAUCCUAUAAUCAAACAAUAUGACACAAGAAAGCAACUAACCGCAACAAAAACUCGCACUUGAAAAACUUAGCAUACAACUGACUAUCUUUCAAAGUCUGAAGAACAAAUUAAAUGUUGCUCAUGCUCCUUUCGACUGUGGGAAUAAUUCAAAAUAUCAUCAAUGAAGACUAUCAGAAAUGAAUCUGGGCAAGUCUCGAACACUCGGUUCAUCAAAUCCAUAAAAGUUGUUGGGGCGUUUGUCAACCUGAAUGACAUCACCAUGAACUCAUAAUUCCAGACAGAGUGUAUAAAGCUAUCUUAGGGACAUCGGAUGCCCUAAUCCUCAACUGAUGAUAGCCAGAUCUCAAGACAAUCUUCAAAAAUACCUUGGCACCCUGAAGUUGAUCAAACAAAUUGUCAAUUCUCUGAAAUUGAUACUUAUUCUUGAUUGUAACCUUGUUCAACUGCUGGUAAUGUAUAUACAUCCUUAUAGAUCUGUCCUUCUUCUUAACAAAAAACACUAACGCACCCCAAGUCGAGACACUAGGUCUAAUGAAGCCUUUAUCAAGCAAGUCUUGCAAUUGUUCUUUCAACUCAAGCGGGUCCAUACGAUAUGGAGGGAUAAAAUGGGCUGAGUGCCCAAAGCCAAAUCAAUGCUUAAGUCAAUAUCCGUGUCGGGUGGCAUACCCAGCAGGUCUAAUGUAAAUACCUCAGGAAACUCAUGAACAACAGGCACAAAAUCCAUAAAAGGAACCUCAACACUAGAAUCACGAACAUAUGCUAAAUAGGCCAAACACCCCUUCUCGACCAUACGUCAAGCCUUCAUAUAUGAGAUAGCACUACGGGUAGAAUGACUAGGAGUCCCUCUCCACUGUAAACGAGGCAACCCAGACAAAGCUAAGGUUACAGUCUUGGCAUGAUAGUCCAAGAUAUCAUGGUAAGGUAAUAACCAAUCCAUCCUCAAUAUGGCAUUAAAAUCAACCAUGUCCAAACGUAACAAAUCUACUCGAGUCUCAAGACCCCCGACCACAAUUAUACAUGAACGAUUGAAAUGAUCUACCACAAUGGAAUCACCCACUGGUGUAGACACAUAUACAGGAGCAUUGAAAGAAUCACUAGGCAUGACCAGAUACAGUGUAAAAUAAGAUGACACAUAAGAGUAUGUAGAUCCUGGAUCAACUACAAUUGAAACAUCUCUGCUACAAACUAGAACAGUACCUUUGAUGACUGCGUUAGGAGCCUCAGCCUCAAGCUUCGGUAGAAGAGCAUAACAUCGGGGUUGGGCCCCACCAUUCUAAACUACAUCUCUAGGACGGACUGCUGUUGGCUGGCCUCCACCUCUAAUACCUCUACCUCCACCUCUAGCACCUCUACCUCCAUCUGUAGCUAGCUGGGCGGGCGGUGGAACACUUGGUUCUGAACUAUGACACAAGAACCUAGUGCUAAGAACUGCUCGCUGCUCAAGGGUGAAUCUAGUAAUAUGCCUCGUCUCACCACAAGUAAAACAAGCCUUAUGUUGCUGGUACUGAUGAACCUGAAAGUUCUAGAACAGAGGUGCACUAUAGGGUUGCUGAUCCGAAUAUUGAAUAUGAGAACCACGGUCACCUGGGGCACCGUGAGAAGUCUAAAUGCCAACUAAAAAGACCUAGGAGGAUGGCCUGUACCAAAAGAAUCCCUGCUUCCCAACGAGGCACCAGUGAAUCGGCCUGAAUGACAAGGACUCUUGUAAGACCCCUGACCAAACCUCCCCCCUCCAUGAUAAAACCAUCUAAACCCUCCUGGCCACAUUGGCCGCAUUCUGAAAGGAAAUCUCAUUCCCUGUCUCCUUAGCCAUCUAAAGUCGAAUAGGCUGAACCAAUUCCUCAAUGAACCUCCUCACUCUUUCUCGCUCUCAUUGGGAAGUAUAAUAAAAACAUGAUGGGCUAAAUCAAUAAACCUGGUCUUGUACCGAGUAAUAGUCAUAGAACCCAGCUGGAGAUGCUCAAACUGCCUCUGAUAGAUCUCUCUCUGAGUGAUAGCAAGAAACUUCUCCAGAAUAGCUGAGAAAACUAGUCCCAAGUCAAAGUUGGUGACCCAACUGGUCUAGCCAAAAAAUAAUCUCUCCACCAAGUCUUGGGGGAUCCAGAUAAGCAAAAAGUAGCAAAGUCGACCCCAUUGGUCUCCACUAUUCCCAUAUUCCUGAGAACCUCAUAACAGCUAUCUAAACAAUCAUAGGGAUCCUCAGAAGAUGCCCCACUGAAAGUGAUAAUGAAGAGCUUGGUGAACCUGUCCAAUCUCCACAAGGCAUUAGCAGAAACAGCUGCUCCAUCAUUGGUAUGGGCUACCACACCCGGCUGAAGUACUCCAAUUGGCUGAGCUACUAGAGUCUGAACUGGGGAGCCAUCUACUUCGAGGUGUGGGUAGCAGGAGUCUGGGCUCCUUCUCCAGCCUGAGAGAUGGUUGGUGCUAUAGGAAGCAAGCAUGCUUGGGCGAUAGUCUUUAUAAGGUACACUAGACGGUCCAGAGCAUCCUGAAGUACUGGGGUAGCAAUGAACCCCUCAAGGACCUGAGCUGGGCCCAUCGAAAUUGAUUGGGUCAGAAUCUUAUAAUCAAACUCAACUUGAGCUUUGUCCCUACCUCGACCUCUAGCAUGGCCUCGCCCUCACCCUCUUCCCUCGUGGGAGCUGCUGUUGGGGGCUCAGGCUGUUGGUUAUUGGAUAAAGAAGUGCGUGUUCUCUCCAAAUGUGAAGAAUAGAGUAGAAAUUCAAUUAGUAUUGAGAAACCACACCGCACGACAAAAAAGGAUAGAUGUAAAAUUUUUCCUAACUUUGUAGCCUUUAGGGGAUAAAUACAGAUUUCUCCAUAUCGAUCCCUUAGACUCUACUAAGCUUGUCUGUGAAUUGUGUGACCUAAGUAACCUAGAGCUCUGAUACCAACUUGUCACGACCUGGAUUUUUCACCCUCGAGAAUCGUGAUAGCGCCUACUAGUAAUAGCUAGGCAAGUUGAUCAUUUGGAUUAUUUACCUUUUUCCCAUUUUAAUCUUUUACAAUUAAUAAGAAAUAUUAGAAAAACAAUAUAAUUUAAUAAGCGAAGACUGAAGUGAAAGGGUCUGAAAUUUUAAGAAGAUUGCAACAUUGUUAAAAUAUAUCUUGAACAACGUUACAUAAAUGCACCCAUGAUUCGCAACACAGCUUAUCUAACAUUGAGAUUUAUAUUUGGGUCACAUAAAUGCGCACAUGAUUUUAGGAAGGUAAAUUCUUUAGCUAGCGCACCUAAGGCAAUUGUGUGUUUUCAAAUUCACAAAGGCCAUGGAAUUCGCUAAAUGGAACCUCGAGCUCUAAGUUAAAUUAAAACUAAUUAAAAUGAAGUCGUGCAAUGGUUAUAUUUGUUCGACAUAUUUACUCCAAUUUUAAGUUAAAAGGUGCUUGAACCAGGCUGCGAAAGGCCAUGGCUACCUUGCGUUUGUUAGAAAUAGCUCACCUCAAAUGAAAAGAUACCAGUUAAAAUCAUAAUUAAGGGACUUUGAUUAAUUCGCCUAGGUUGGACUCGUGAUUUAUUCAAAAGCUACCAGGCCUGAUUACAGGCCCAGUAAUUGUCAAAAUCUUUAUUCAGAGACCGAAAUAUACUCUUCUAAAUAAAAAUCAAGCCCAAGUUGGGCCCAAAUACUAAUGAGUUCACUACUGUGAACGAAAGACUUAGAAUUGGGCCCCCUCAAAGUCCAUCCAAUAUGCAAAGAAACAUGACCAUCACAUUGCUCAUCAUUUGAUAAGAUCAAAUUGAUUUUAUCGGACAACCUUAAGCAUACAAAGAGAAUAGCAAACCAAUUCGAUUUUGAUCAUAUCAUCCAAUUGUAUAUAUAUAUAUCCCAUCUCAAACAAAUACCUACCCAAUCAGCAUACCAAAUCCAAUUGUACACUAUAGCAAACUGAAAAGUCUUUACUUAACAAAUGACUAGGGAUACAAAAUAGCUUUGAAUCAAUCAAAUUUAUAGCAUCAGAUUCAAUCCUUAAAGAAAAUAAAGUAGGAUGAAUAGAAGAAAGAAAUACACCAGUAAGUUAAGUUAUGAGUACAACUAUUACUCAACUAGAACAUGACCAGAUUCUAAGGUAAAUUCAAAUUGUGUUAUAAGAACAACAUGAAUCAGAAAAAGAAGAAGCAGACUUAAAACUAUACUGAAUAUCAAUGUAUUUAUUCCAUUUCAACUCCCAAAUUUGCAGAUUCAUAUUGUUUUGAAUUUCAGAGAUGUGUGCCUGGCAACAAAAUGAAACAAAGAAAUGAGGAACUUGCAAUAGGAUAGCAGCAUGGGAAAACACGAACGACCAGAUUCUAAGGUAAAUUCAAAUUGAGUUAUGAGAACAACAUGAAUCGGAAAAAGAAGAAGCGGACUUAAAACUAUACUGAAUAUCAAUGUAUUUAUUCCAUUUAACUCCCAACUUUGUAGAUUCACAUCGUUUUGAAUUCAGAGAUGUGUACCUGGCAGCAAAAUGAAACAAACAUGUGAGGAACUUGAAAUAGGACAGCAGCAGGGACAAACAGGAAUAACCAGAUUCGGGAUAAGAAAUGAGAUGUCACAAUCAACAGAAUUCGACCAAAUUCCUAAAAAAAUAGCUUUCAAACCCCAAAAUUAAUCCAUAUUCAACCCCAGAUUAACCAGGAAGUAUUUCAGACCUUGAGAAUUUCAGGAAUUAAAAGAAAUCAAUGGAACAGUAGUAGUUUGGCCAUCUAAAAUUUUUGAUAUGUUUUAGCUCUUAAAUCUUCUAUAAAACAGUAAACAUGCAGCUUUUUUUGUAUUUUUGUGGGUUUUUUUAGCUCUUUUUCGAUCUUCUCAUUUCGAGAUCCUCUCCUCUUAAGCUGCAAGUGACUAUGCCUUUAUAGGCAAGUCAUUAAGGAAGCCCUUAGGUUUGUUAUUUCAUUUUUAGUCCCUUAUUUUUUAACUUGUUAACCAAGUUAUAACACUAAAAUUAACAAGAAACCCCUACUAGAAUAUUCUAUUAUUGUUACUAAAGAUUUCCUAAGUGAUUUACCUAUGCUACCCCUUAGCUACCCUAGAAUUACCCUAAAAUUAAUCUAGACUAACAAUUAACCUAGGCUCAGAAAUAGCCGGGCCUUUUGAAUCGGGUCAAAAAUGACCCAACGAGCCCAAAGUUAAUUUUAAACUAGUCAUUUCUAACCCAAGCUUUACCAAAACUAAUUAACAGAAAUGAGGUGCAAAAUUUGACUAUUGAAUCAACACUUAUGAAUUGAAAGGAAAUAAAAGAUCACUAAUAGCAAAAUUAACAAAACAGAAACAAGAUUAAUGCUGAAUGUAUGCUCUUUAACUUUAGUCAGAUGAAACAAAGUAAAGAAACAAGAGGCAAAUUAAGGACCUAAUCAUUCUGAUUCCACAACAAUGAACCUACCUUUACUACUGAUUUAGUAAAUAAAAUCAUAACCCAAAGGCAGUCAAGAGCAAAUGAUCUGGUUUUUUCUAAAAUGCCUUAACCUACUCCGACUACCCAGAGAAAGGGUGAGGAAGAAAAUGAGCCAAAAAAAUCAAAAGAGAGGAGGAGAACUUACUCAAUCCGGCUCGAACUGGGUUGCCUAUAACUUUGUUGGUUUUAACCUUGCAUUGAAUGCCCUGGGUUAGAUUUGAAAUUUGAGCAGAUAUACGGGUGUUAGAAGGAUAUUGAGUGAGGAUUUGGAAUGAGGGAGAGACGGGAAUCCUUUGUUCUUAAUUUGGGAUCAAUUGGUGGUGGCGUCGCCGUGUCUGGCGAAGGAGUUAGAAUUUCUAAGCGAUAUUCAAGGAAUUGGCUAGGUUUUGAGAGAAGACGAUGGUGAAUUUGGGAAGAGGAGAAGGAGGAGAAAUGGUGGUGUUAAUUUGGUGGUCAUCAGAUCUCCGCCGCCACCUUGGGUGAUUUCCGGCAGGCGGCGAAUAGCGGAGACGAGGUGUCUCUAAGGUUUGCUGGUGUGAUGGUGAGAGAUGGGGUUUGUGUGUGGGGGCGUUUGGACAUAUAUAUAUAUAUAUAUGCUACCAGGCCUGAUUACAGGCCCAGUAAUUGUCAAAAUCUUUAUUCAGAGACCGAAAUAUACCUUAUGAGCCGUUAGAUCUUGAAUCUUAGACGGCCAAGAUUAAUUCAUGCCAAACGAUAUUGUUUGGGUUCAAGCGGGGACCUGGACCGGGUUCUGGGGGGGUUUUGGACAGGGUCAUGGUGUUUUGGGCCGGGAAUAUAAAUAAAAUUGGCCCAAUUUGGGUCUCUUAUUAAAGAUCAAAACUAAUAUUUUUUUAAUUUCUUAUCUAAUUCCUGAUUUUCCUUUUUCCGUUUUUUCAAAAUUGGGAGUAAAAUCCUAAACUAAAUCAUAAGACCACAUUAGCUUAUUAAUUAAUUCUAAAAAAUAAUUAUCACCAAUUAUUAAAACUAAACUAAAAUAAAAACCUCAAAAAUACAAAAAUUAAAAAUAUUUUUGUGAUUUUAUUCCCAUUUUAUGAAACAACUAAUUUGUUAAUUAAUCUUAAAAUGUAGGAUUAAAUCCUAAAUGCAAGUGCAACCUAUUUUAUAUUUUUUACUAAUUAAAAUGCACAAAUAGAAAUGCAAAUAAUUAACAAAAAAUGCCAUGAAAAUCCAAAAAAUUGAAAACACUGAAAGAAAUUAUUUUGUUUUGAAUUUCUGGGAGUAAUUCAUAUAGGGCAAAAAUCACAUGCUCAAAGGAGGCACAUAUGACUGGCUGAAUGACCUGCGAGCCCCCUUGAGCUUGAAACCACCACGUCUCCUUCUUUUCCUCCGUUUCCGUUUAUCGAAUCCUCUGAACCAUUUUUGUGACGACCCAACUUGUCGCCUUUCGUAUUUUAGCCCAUUAUCCCCGUAUUAUGCUUCCUCUUGUGUUGAUAUAUGCGGUUGGUGAGUUUGAAGUAUGUUGGAUUGAAUUUUGUUAGAAAUGACACCAAUAGUCUCAUUAAGAAAAGCUUAAGUUGGCAAAGCCAACCGGAUGUUACUUAUGAGUUAGAGGGCUCGGAAUAGAUUUCCAACAAUUCGACUAGUUUCGGAUGGUGAUUUGUGACUUGGGAGAGAUGGCGGAAUUGAAUUUGGAGACCAGGUGUAGAAUUAAGCUUGAAUUGGCUAAGUUGAAUUUUGGCAAAUUCUGGUUGAAGGUGAGAUUUUGAUCCCGGGGUCGGAAUGAAAUUUCGAGAGUUUCAACAGCUUCGUUAGGUGAUUCUGGAUAUGUCUGCAAAUAUUCAGGUCAAUUCAGACUUCGUUUGGUUAGUUUCGGCAUCAAAUGAGAUUUUUGAGAAGUUAAUGUUUAUCUUAGGCUUUGAUUUGAUGAUUUUGGUGAUUUUUGGUGUUUAAGCUAGUGUUUUUAUGGCUCGAGCAAGUUUGAAUGAGAUAUUUUGUCAUAAGUGUAUUUUUGGUUUGAACCCCGGGGGCCUCAGGGUGAUAUCGGAUGGUAACGAGGAAUUUUUGGAGUUAAGCUUGACAAAUGGUUGUUGCUUCUGGUAUUUUCGCGGAAGUGGCGGGGAGAGCGCUUAAGCGGUGUCCGAAGAAGCGGACAAUAAGCUGCAGAAGUGGCCAAGGGGGAAUCUAGAGGCCGUAGAAGCGGUCAAAGGGACCGCGUACGUGGGAGUCGCGGAAGCGGUAGAUCGACCGCAAAAGCGGCAGCUAAAGAAAUGGUCAGACCGCGGAAGCGGUCAACUGGACGCAGAAGCGAAGACCGCGGAAGCGGAAAUCAUUCAGUUUUAAAGAAUCAGUGGGUUUAAUAUUUUGAGAAGAGGAAGAACAUUUUAGACUUCGAGCUGAGGCAAUUGAGAGAGGUUUUGGAGAGAUUUUCGAGGGGAUUCUUCAGGUAUGAUCUCUUAGACCUCGAAUAUGUGAUUAUAUGCAAAAUCAUGGAUUAAACACUUAGAAAUCAAGGUCUUUAAUGACAAAAUGAUGGUUAGGGCUUGAAACCCAAGUGAACCUUAAAGUGUUGAUUUGAGAGAUCAAAUGGACUCCGAUUAUUAUAAAUUUGAUAUGUAUGGACUCGCGGCGAGACAAGGAUUCUGAAAAUAUAAUUUCAUAUUUUUUUAAGAAGUGGGCCCAAGGCUCGGGUUUUGCCAACUUCAUAUUUUUGGGUUUAUUUCGAGAUAUUUCUAUUGGGUUGUUCCAUUAGCCUAUUUUGAUGUAUUCCUAUUGGUUUUGAGCAGAUUUGGCAUCCGCGAAGGUUGAUUCUCGAGGGAAAGGCAUUACGAGCUAGUUUGCGACAGGAUUGAGGUGAGUAAUGGGUGUAGAUGAUGACCUGAGGGUGCGAAACCCGGGUAUAUCACAUUGUGAUGCUAUUACGAGGCUAGACACACACUCCAUGGCUAGUGCGGGGUCGUAUAUGUUGGAAAUUGUAACUGGGUCCAAUCCGAGGGAUAUAUUGUACUAUGUUGGCAAUUUCUUCGUAUACUAUAUUGAUGUUACCUGGGCUUGAUGCCAUGUUUGGGGCCUUGGGCCGACUUGUAGAAUCCAUCAGGGAUCGUUAUCUCAGAAUUUAUUUUAUUUGCAUAUUAUUUGAAAUCAGUCCAAGUUUAAAUAAUAUUUCUGCAAACUCAGCCAUAUUUAUACAUUUUGAAAACACAAAUGACUUUUACAUAAUAUUUUGGGCUGACGAGUACUAUCUCGCUAUUUUUGGACUGUAUAUUAUAUUAAAUGAAAACGGUGGUAACUAAGGACAGCGUGUAUUUUAAAUGGAAACGGUGGUAGCUAAACUAUAUAUUAUUUUAAAUGGAAACGGUGGUAACUAAGGACAUCGUGUGUUUUAAAUGGAAAUGGUGGUAACUAAGGACACUGUGUAUUUUAAAUAGAAAUGGUGGUAACUAAGGACACCGUGUAAAUGGAAACAGUGGUAACUAAGGACACCGCAUAUUGUAUUGAAAAUGGUGGUAAAUAAAGACACCGUGUAUUGUAAUGAAAACGGUGGUAACAAAGGACACCAUGUAUUGUGAUGAAAACAGUGGUAACUAUUGACACUGUAUGAUAUGGCGCUUGGGCUGUAAGAACCCCUCCGGAGUCCGAACCCCCACAGUAAGUGCAUGUACCCAAAUGGAUCGGACUGCUCAUUUCGCAGUGGUCAUGCACUGCAUUGCAUCUCAUGCAUUUAUAUACUGUUGCUUUAUUGUAUAUAUCUGAGACUUGUACUAUAUAGAACUGUUUAACUAGCUUUACUCUGUGCUUUAUUGUGGUUUCCUGCUUUCCGGUUUAUAUACAUGAUUAUUUCUCGCUGAGUUGGUAGACUCCCCCCAUACUGCCUGCACCUUGUGUGCAGAUUUAGGUGCUCCAGAGACUUAGUGCUGCUGCUGUUGAUUUCUCGAGCUAUUAAGAGUAUUGAGGUAGCUGCCCAGCAUCCGCAGGACCACUUAUGUUUUGCUUGCUCCCAUUCUGACAUGAUAGGGAUACCACCGGAGGUCGUGACUCAUAAAUUGAAUGAAGAUCCAUCAUAUCCUCCAGUUAAGCAAAAGAAAAGCAAGCAAGGAACUUUCAAGAAUAAGGUAAUUCAAGAAGAAGUGCAAAAUUUUCUAAAAAUUGGUUCAAUUCAUGGCUCUGACUCGUGACUCCUCAGUUUUUAGGAGGAUUAUUAUUCAGUUAUAUUUUUCUUGGGUAUGAAUUACCCCUUGGGUUGGGAGUUUGUUAUUGAAUUUCGUUGGUUAUUCCUAAAUUGUUUCUCUUUGGGCUGGGAUGUCGUUCUUAAUUUUGGCUUGGUCGGGCUUGCCUAUCCUCACGGCCAGGCGCUAUCACGACCGGGUUUGGGUCGUGACAAGUUGGUAUCAGAGCCUAGGUUACUAGGCCUCACGAGUCAUGGGCCGGUUUAGUAGAGCCUUGUUUAUGGGUGUGUCGUGCACCAUACUUAUAAGCAGGAGGCUACAGAACCUUUAGGAAACACUCCACUUUCUUGAAAUCUUAUCAUGCGUUCUUGAUUCAAUUUGAAGGGGUAACCCUUGAAAUUCCUUCCUCGCGUUUGUAUGCGUUCGUGAGCAUCUAGUAUUAUAUGUGCCUUGAUGGUUGGUGAUUCCCCUAUCGAGGGGCGAGUUAUGAUUCCUAUGAGUUGAUGUUGGGCCAGUCUAGAGGACUUGAGGCUGAAUCUCUGUCUAUGGCUUGAGCACCAAGGUGCUGAUUGAGCUAGCUAGUGUUAUGAGCUUAUAAGUUUGUUAUUGUCCCUAAUUGUGGUGAUAACGGCUGGAUAUAUACGUGGUGUGUACAUUGGUGCCGUGUGAUGUGUAUGUAUGACUUGGUAGUAUCGAAGAAGGGCUGCUAGGUAAUAAAUGAACCAUUAAGUGUUUGAUUCCCACUGCGAUCAGAUGUGUUGCGCCGAGUUAUGGGCGCGUGAAGAAUCUUUUCGAGUCUCCUAGCUGGUAGUUGAACUAGUUUAUGAGCUUCUAAGUUCAGUAUUGUCCCAAAUUGUGGUGAUGGUGGCUGGAUAGCUACGUGGUGUGUAUAUUGGUGUUGUGUAAUGUGUCCAUAUGACUUGGAAGUGUUGAAGAAGGUCUGCUAGGUGGUAGACGAACCAUUAAAUAUUUGAUUCUCAUUAUGAAAUAGGGAUGUGGCUCGAGUUAUGGGGGCAUGAAGAAUCUUUUCGAGUCUUCUAGCUGGGAUUGUGUGUGUUGUAGUAUGAGUCUAGACUCAGGAAGACCAAUUGAUUGCAUGAGGAGUAUGACGAUGGAUGAUGUACCGAAAUAUUAUUUUGAGGCAAGCAGGUAGGUAUCUCCUGCAGAUUAUUCUGAAAAGUGAUAUGAUCAUUAUGUGUAUGUUACAAGAUCUUAUGUAUAAUUAAAAUGUUUUUUAUAUGUUAUGGUUCGAACAGAUGCAGCGCAUGUUUAGGUAUUAAUUUUGAUAAUAUAAUACAUGUAGCAUUGGUAUUUCUAUUAUUGAUAUACAUUGUGAUGUUUUGUCAAGUUGUGGACGUGUUGUUAGAAUGUUUUGGUGUUCUAUGUUAGGUGGAUAAGCUCAAUUACAAAGUAAACUCUGCCAAAAUUUUUGGAAAUUUGGGACUUAGUAGAAAUUUUGACGCUUUAAGGGUGGGCUUAACGGUUGUGUGAAUGAAUGCAAGAAUUGGGGGAAAGUUAGAAUUUCUUAUGAUUCGUGUUUUCACAAGCUUGUGAAAGAGUGAGUUUAAUAUCACCAUGAUAUUACGAUACAAGAGAGCAUAUGUGUUGUGAUGUAAAUGGCUUCGAGCUAAGUUGGGGAGGUUGCUGUGGAUGUGAUGGUCGUAUUGUUAUGUACUGUGUUCAUUCUGAUUCGAUGCAUAUGAGUGAAUCAGUUCUGGUUGCAGAAAGGGAGCUGAGGGUGGUGCGAGUGAAGCAAAAGUUUGGCAAAGGUUAUAUGGUGCUUCUCAGAUGUGGGAAAAUAAGGGAAUGUCUCAAGUUGUUAAUAAAGAAUGCUUGGCGUAAGGAGAAAAAAGUUGUUUGGUUGUAUCGGAAUAAGAUCUCAUCCUGUGGUGUCAGAGUGCUGAUAAGGCACAAGUGGUUCAACUCAUUAAGUCAAGUGAAUUGCAGUGUGUAUAAGAGUGGUCUACUUUUGAGAAUAGUUUUUGAUCUGAUCAAAAUUCGAUAGGUAUCACUCUGGUGUUUUGAGGCUGAGUAAGUGACCAAGUCAGUGUUUUCAUUAGCAUAGGUCAAGACAUGUGGUAUUUCUAUGUUGAUUACGGGAUUCUAGGUAUCAAUAUUUAGAAAGUAAUGGUAACCGAUUCAGAGUCGUAGAAAGUUCUUUGGGUAAAGUUUUUUGUAAUGUGGUAAUUCAGAGCACGUUUGAGAAAGUAUUUAGUGGCCUAUGGGUCUUAGACGGUGUGGUCUGGUGUUGGGUCUCGUAUAGUGAGACUUGGUUGAGACAUUAUGGUGCUACAGCAAGAGAGUAUAUCUAGUUGAAAAAUGAAUCAGGUGGGAAUCGAGACAAAUUGAGUAACUUGUUAGGGGCACAAAUCGGUAUGGUAAAGAUAUGAUCAAUUGUGGUAUGUGUUCAGGUAAUGGGUUCUUACCAGCGUUGGGAAGCGAAGCUCCUGAGUACUGAAAAUCUACUUAGCUUUGUUCAGGUAGAGAGAUUCCGUCCUUGGCAGUUUAACUUGUGCAAAUAGAAUUGGGAGAGAAUUCUUGUUGAGUUUCAUCGUGGUUUGGAGAUGUAUAUUUGCUAUGGACAUGCAUAGCAUGGAGUGUAUAAUAAAUUUUUCUUCUAAAAGGAAUCAAUGAAAGUCCUAGACUAGUUGGGUACGUUGAUGUCUGCGGUGCAGAAGGGAGAUGGAAGUUCUCGUGUUAUCCCUGGAGAAUAUUGGGUAUGCGGUAUGCUAUAAAGGACCGAGAUGGGCGUGUGCGAGUUUUCGACUCAGUUCUGAAAAGUAUGGUGAAUUUGGCUAUGUCGUAGGUAAUGAGUAGCUUCAGGUAAUCAAGGAACCGGUACUGUUAAGUGGAAGUGAUUUGAUGAUAGCAUAAGUUUCAGAAAGAGGGUAAUUCCACAAAUGAUACAUCAGUAGUGUUACAGCAAUUCCUUAUGGGAUAGACUGCGGAUAUCUGAGUUUCUUGAUGGCGCAUGGGAGUUUUAAAAUAUCCCUCGUGGAAUAGUUGGGUACUUGAGGUGUAAUCUGUAUUUCGCAUUGUGGAAAUUUGGAUCAGGCACGUUGAUUCGUGUGCUAUGAGUAGUCGGAGACUGGGAGUUCUCCGAUGCAGAUUAUGCAUUAAUUGAGGAUCGUGUGUGUUGUAUUGGUACUGUCAGCGGCUAUUGGGAAUUCAGAAGCUGAGUGGAUCUUUCCUUGCUUAGUAUAUUAAAUUCUGGAUAUGUUAUGGGGAUGUAGAGUGAUUGUCUUAGUGUCGUAUUAUUCUAAACGAUUGUUCUAUGAGUAAUGUUGGGAAAUGCCACAGGUUGUGUGGCGGGGUGUAUCGGACUAUGUUCUAGCUGGAUGGUUGUGUUCCAGAGACUAGCGGUCAUCUAGGAAGAAUUGUGUUCCUUAAUUGGGCCUUCGAGAUGGGUUUCAGCAUAGAGGUUUCUACCAUUGAUUCGGUUCCAGUAUUGAGGGACUUUUCAGAUGCGUCCUUCUGAUCGGGCAUGUUUCUUGGCAAGACUGUGGAUUUCAGUAAUUAUCUGCUGCUAGGCACCAUGUUGUGCGGUUUCGUCAUGAGUCAUAGUAGUGGGAGUGGAAUUUUGUAGCUUACAAUGCUAAUAAGAUAUCUUUAUGCACUUAGCUGCUUCGACCGAUGUUGGUAUUUUGUUAUUAUGAGCAAAUUUGGCUCGAUGUGCACCUCCCUAUGUAAGAUAUUGUGUGGAUCGGGUGGCACACAGCCACGAGUAUGUUAUCUGGAUCAUGUUGCGUGCCGCAACAGUGUGAGGUUGAGAAUAGCUUUCCAUGUGUUGCUUUGUAUUCCUUGCUUUCCGUCGUCUGAGGAAAAUCCGUAUUGAGAAUUGCUUGACGGAUAGUAUGGAUUGGGUGGCAUGCCGCCACGAGUAUGUUAUUUGGAUCGGUUUGUGCACCGUAACAGUGUGAGGUUGAGAAUAGCUUUCCAUGUGUUGCUUUGUAUUCCUUGCUUCCCGGCUUCUGAGGAAAAUCUGUAUUGAGAAUUUCUUGGCAGAUAGUGUAUCGUUGUGUCCUCUCAGGACCGAAUGGGGUAUAUUACUUGUUUCACCAUGAGUGUGAGGGGGAAUUUGGUUUCAGGCAUAGAUCUGUGCAUGGCUGUAUACAAUGAGCAUGGUAACAUGAGGCGCUUCAUGUGUAACGGUGUUCGGAUAGGAUCAUGUGUUGUGGCGAGGACACGUGAAGUUAUGCCUUUCGAAGACGAUUCAGGUACUCUAUUCCUAUGAAGUGAGACGGGGUCUCAAUUUGGUUUUGUGAAGGUAUUGAUGAGCGUGAGGUAUAACUCUUCCGAUUGAGUCAUUUGCCUGAUUUGGGUAUGUAUAGAUUGUUCCUUAUUGGCGCGUGUAUUAUGCAAUUGUGGCUUAGGCCUUUAUUGAGGCACCAUAUCACCAGAAAUGGUGUGAUAGAUUUGAGGUGAUCAUUGGGUUACUAAUAAGUAUGAGCAGAUUUGAUUUCAACUGGUUAGAGUGGUAACAUCGAGGUUUGGCCUGAAAAAUCAGUUGUGGUAAUAGUCAACUUGGAAGUGACUUCAUGAAUGGUUGAUCUGAAGAACUGCUACGGUUCAUUACAUGUUUUAGUGAUCGUUGGCAAUAUGUAAAAGUGUUGGAAUAAGACUUUAGCUAGAUAAGAGUUUUCCUAUUGGUAAUUGAGUAAUGUGGGUAACUGCUGUGAAUAAAGACUAUUGUUCCGAGUGUUGGAAUAUGGUGUAUAUUGUAUGAAUUCAUCUGAGGUUGAGGCUGUGGGUUAUUAUAGCUAGUUCAGAUUGAUUGUGAGUAUAGAUGUGAGGUUCUGAUCUUGUGUGUGAUUUCGGGUAGAGCAAUAUGGUUCUACGGUUUAUGGGCCAGAUGGAUUGUGAAAUUUCAGUUGUGUUGUGUUAUCGGUACCUAUGUGAGUUAGGGUGACGUGGGAUCAUCCCGAUCAUAUGCCUGGUAAUGUCGUGUGGUUAUUGGGUUGCUUCUAGUACAACUCUGGGUACGCUCGAGAACGAGCGUUUGUUUAAGUUGGGAAGGAUGUAAUAACCUGACCGUCAUCUUCCAUAUUUCAGCCUCGUUAUCCCCGUAUUAUGCUUCCCCGUGUGUUGAUAUAUGUGUCUGGUGAGUUUGAAGUGUGUAGGGUUAAAUUUGGUUAGAAAUGAGACCAAUAGUCUCUUUAAGAAAAGCUUAAGUUGGCAAAUCAAACCAGAUGUUGACUUAUGAAUUAGAGGGCUCGGAAUGGAUUUCCAGCUAUUCGACUAGGUUUAGAUGGAGAUUUGUGACUUGGGAGAGAAGGCGCAAUUGAAUUUGGAGGCCCGAUGUACAAUUAGGCUUGAAUUGGCUAAGUUGAAAUUUGGCGAAUUCCGGUUGAUAGGUGAGAUUUUUAUCGGGGGGUCGGAAUGGAAGAGUUGCAGUAUCUUCGUUAGGUGAUUCUGGAUAUGUCUCUAAAUUUUCAGGUCAUUUGGGUUUCGUUUGGUUGGUUUCGGCAUCGAAUGAGAUUUUGAGAAGUUCAUGUUUAUCUUAGGCUUUUGAUUCUGGUUAUGCCUGCAAAUUUUCAAGUCAUUCGGGCUUCGUUUGGUUGGUUUCGGCAUUGAAUGAGAUUUUGAGAGGUUCAUGUUUAUCUUAGGCUUUGAUUUGAUGAUUUUGGUGAUUUUUGGUUUUUAAGCUAGUGUUUUUAUGGCUCAAGCAAGUUUGAAUGAGGUAUUUGGUCAUAAUAGUGUUUUUGGUUUGAACCCGGGGGGCUUCGGGGUGAUAUCAGAUGGUUAAAUGAGGAAUAUUUGGAGAUAGGCUUGAAAAAUGGUUGACCACGGAAGCGGUCAACUGGACGCGGAAGCGAGGACCGCUAAAUCGGAAUAAUACCACGGAAGCGGAAAUCGUCCAGUUUUAAAGAAUCGGUGGGUUUAAUAUUUUGAGAAGAGGAAGAACAUUUUAGACUUCGGGGCUGAGGCCAUUGAGAGAGGUUUUGGAGAGAUUUUCGAGGGGAAUCUUCAGGUAUGAUCUCUUAGACCUCGAAUAUGUGAUUAUGGUGCAAAAUCAUGGAUUAAACAGUUAGAAAUCAAGGUCUUUAAUGUCAAAAUGGUGGUUAGUGCUUGAAAUCCAAGUGAACCUUAAAGUGUUGAUUUGAGAGGUCAAAUGGACUCCGAUUCUUGUAAAUUUGAUAUGUAUGGACUCGCGGGGAGACGAUGAUUCUGAAAAUGUGAAUUUCGUAAUUUUUCGAAAAGUCGGCCCGGAACUCGGGUUUUGCCAACUUCAUGUUUUUGGGUGUAUUUCAAGAUAUUUCGAUUGGAUUAUAUUCCAUUAGCCUAUUUUGACGUAUUCCUAUUGGUUUUGAGCAGAUUUGGCAUCCGCGGNNNNNNNNNNNNNNNNNNNNNNNNNNNNNNNNNNNNNNNNNNNNNNNNNNNNNNNNNNNNNNNNNNNNNNNNNNNNNNNNNNNNNNNNNNNNNNNNNNNNNNNNNNNNNNNNNNNNNNNNNNNNNNNNNNNNNNNNNNNNNNNNNNNNNNNNNNNNNNNNNNNNNNNNNNNNNNNNNNNNNNNNNNNNNNNNNNNNNUCUUAGAUAGACCCAACCCCUAUGUAUAUCACAUUGUGGCGCUAUUACGAGGCUAGACACGCACUCUAUGGCUAGUGCGGAGUCGUAUAUGUUGGAAGUUGUGACUCGGUCCAAUCCGAGGGAUAUAUUGUACUAUGUUGGCGAUUUCUUUGCAUACUAUAUUGAGUUAUCUGGUAUUGAUUCCAUGUUUGGGGCCUUGUGCCGACUUGUACAAACCUUCAGGGAUCAUUAUCUCAGAAUUUAUAUGAUUUGCAUAUUAUUUGAAAUCAGUCCAAGUUUAAAUACUAUUUCUGCAAAAUCAGCCAUAUUUAUACAUUUUGAAAACUCAAAUGAAAUUUACAUGAUAUUUCGGACUGACGAGUACUAUCUCGCUAUUUUUGGACUGUAUAUUAUUUUAAAUGGAAAUCGUGGUAACUAAGGACAACGUGUAUUUUAAAUGAAAAUGGUGGUAACUAAGGGCACCGUGUAUUUUAAAAAGAAAUGGUGGUAACUAAGAACACCGUGUAUUUUAAAUGGAAACGGUGGUAACAAAGGACACCGUGUAUUGUGAUGAAAACAGUGGUAACUAUUGGCACUAUAUGAUAUGGCGCUUGGGCUGUAGGAGCCCUUCCGGAGUCUGAACCACCACAGUGAGCGCGGGUACCCAAAUGGAUUGGACUGCACGUUCCGCAGUGGUCAUGCAUUACAUUGCAUCUCAUGCAUUUAUUUACUGUUGCUUUAUUUGGAUAUAUCUGAGACUUGUACUGUAUAGAACUAUGUAACUUACUCUGUGCUUUAUUGUGGAUUUUUUGCUUUCGAGUUUUUAUACAUGCUUAUUACUCGCUGAGUUGGUAGACUCACCCCAUACUCCCUGCACCUUAUGUGUAGAUUCAAGUGCUCUAGAGACUUAGUGUUGCUACUGUUGAUUUCUCGAGCUAUUAAGAGUAUUAAGGUAGCGGCCCAGCGUCUGCAAGAUCACUUACUCUGUCUCUAUCAGUCAUGUUCUUUUGCCAUUUUGUCAGACUCUGUAUCAUUUUCGUUCAGACUUGUAUUCUGUUUUGUUAGAGGCUCUGGACUCGUGACUCCUCAGUUUUUGGGAGGAUUAUUAUUCAGUUGUGUUUUUCUUGGGUAUGAAUUACCCCUUGUGUUGGGAGUUUGUUAUUGAAUUUCGCUGGUUAUUCCUAAAAUGUUUCUCUUUGGGCUGGGAUGCCGUUCUUAAUUGUGGUUUGGUCGGGCUUGCCUAGGGAUUAUUAUUCAGUUGUGUUUUUCUUGGGUAUGAAUUACCCCUUGGGUUGGGAGUUUGUUAUUGAAUUUCACUGGUUAUAACUAAAUUGUUUCUCUUUGGGCUGGGAUGCCAUUCUUAAUUGUGGUUUGGUCGGGCUUGCCUAUCCUCACGGCCAGGCGCCAUCACGACCGGGUUUGGGUCGUGACAAUUUUGAACAUAUGGUGAUGCGGCUUUAAAGGCAGCAUGACUCAGGAUUCGACCUGUUUUUAGCCUAUUUUCUACCAUCUACCCAACUUUGAUAGCCUCAGUAACAACAGACAUCAUGUUUUGGAAGUAGUCAGGCUCUUGGGCCUGUAGAAAGACCAUGACCAUUUCGAUUUCAUCCAUUGGUGGUUUUACAUUGGAAGCUUGCUCAUGCCAUUUGACAGCAUAUUCGAAUAAGCUUUCCACGGUUUUCCUUUUCAAAUUGGACAAGGUGUUCUUGUCGGGAGUGAUGUCCACAUUAUACUAGAACUGGCAGAAAAAAUCUCGAGCCAUAUCAUCACACACAUGCCAAUAAGUAAUUUCUUGAUCCGUAUACCACUCAGAAGCGAUUCCGAUGAGGUUUUCUCCAAAAUAGGCCUUCAACAUCUCCUCUUUUCCACCAUCACCCCUCAGUUGGCUACAAUAUCAUUUCAUAUAAACGGUCUAGGUCUCUAUGCCCGUCGUACUUUUCAAAUUUUGGCAUCUUAAAGCCAAUUGGCAAGUGAACAUGGAGAAACAUACAGAGGUCAGAGUAUGAGACACUAUUUUGACCACUCAAACCAUGCAUGUUUUUCAAGCUUUGUUCCUGGCUCUUCAUCUUCCGAGCAAUUUCCUCUUGCUCAGGGUUUUUAACAACCUUUUCUUGCUCCACCGAGAGAUCAUAUCGUGGAGGUUGAGUGAAAGAGUAUGGGGUCACAUAUUUCAUAUCUGAUUGAAGUUGUGGACCCUGAAAGAUAAACAUUGGAGGCGGUGCCCUUCGAGCCGAUGCCUGGGGGCGGACCACAUAAGGUAUGCCAGGAUCAUUGGAGGUCAUUGGAGGGUGCCCGCAUGGGAUGAGAAGAUUGGGCACAUUGGCAUUGGUAAUCUCAUCUAACCUGGGCAUCAACUCAGGGAACCCAGGAAUUAAACUUGGUGGUUCCCUACCAUUAGACCAGGCGUCCCACAUAUCUCAUACGUGGAGAUGCAACAUCUUAUUCUCUUCAAUAGCUAUUGAUUCUAGCUGUAUAAUAGCCGAUGCCAGGUUAUCCUCAGGACCUAUGAUUGGUAGAUUACUUGCAGAGGCCAUCUGUGCCUUUGGAUCUUGUAAAGGAGGGGAGGCUAAACUACCAACAAAACCAACCACCAAAACCUAGCUAGUUUGCACAUCCAACUACUUUGUUAGUUUUGAAACAUUUAACAUAUAGGGAAUCAUAUGUUGGAAUGCAAUGCACCUAACAGUUAAACGAUUCAACCAUGUGUUUGAACGGUUGCAUGUUUCAUCCCGGCCUUAACUAAAUCUUUCAGUACGGGCCUCUUUUCACUCUUGAUUUUUGUUUUAUUUUUGCCGCUCUUUUAUUUUUGGCACUCUCUUUUUCUCUUUUUGUUUGCCACUAUUUUAUUUCUGUCACUCCCUUUUUUUCACUAUUUUUUCUUCUUUUUUGUUCAGUUUAUUUUUCACUCAAUUUAUUUUAUAGCGAUGAUCAAAUCCAAUGGGUAUUGCCUACGUAUCAUAACCAUGCAUGAAUCAGAUCUUGCGUAGUACGGGAAGAUCAAGAAUGGAUUAAAUAGAUUAACUCUCUAUUUUUUUUACUUUUUAUGAAACUCACACCAUGAAAGCUUUAAGAAAAGGAAAAACACUUUUUUUUUUGAAUUUUAUUUUUUGAAUUUUUGAAAGAAAUGCUUUAAAAGAAGAAAGGAAAUAUUUCUUUUUUGGAUUUUUGAUUUUGAUUGAAUUUUUGUUUUUGAAAGAAAGACUUCUAUAAAUUUAAUUACUUUUGAUUUGAACUUUAGGAAUUUUAAAAGUAAAAAGAAAAUAUUUUAUUUGAAUUUUCAUUUCUUUCCUCUUUUUCUAAAGAAGAAAGAAAAUAUUUUUGGAUUUUAGAAGUUUCCUCUAAAUUUUUGUAAGAGGAACUUUUAAGAAAAUAUUGAAUUUCUGAGUUUUUAUUAAUUUACAAAAGUACUUCUAAAGAAAAGGAAAAAUAUUUUUGGACUUCAUUUUAUUAAAAUUUUUAUGGACAUUUACAAAAGAAAGCCAUCUAAAAAGUAUUUUUUUGGAUUUUGCUUCUGAUUUUUUGGAUUUGUGUUUUUGGAAUAAUGCUUCAAAAAUGAAAGAAACUCGUAUUUUGAAUUUUGAUUUUUAUUGAUUUUUUUCACAUGAAAUAUAUUAGAAAGAAGGAAAUCAUGUUUUUGAGUUUAAAAAUUACUUUUAUUUUUUUUUUUUUUGAAUUUUCUAAGGAAAGAUUUUAUAAAGAAGGAACUAAAAAAAUUAUUUUUGGAUUUGUUUUUGAAAAUUGGGGUCGGAACCAAUGAGGUUUGUCUACGUAUCUCACAUCUAGUAAGAAUCAAACUCGCGUAUCUCGGUUAUUUUUGGAUUUUUUUGAAAAUUGGGUUCUUAAAGAGAGAUUUUUCUAAAGAAGUAAAUGAAAAUAUCUUUGAUUUGUUUGUUUAAAAAAUAGGGAUCAUAAAGAAAUACCCUCUUUUUAAAUAAAAGAAGUAAAUAAAAAUAUUUUUGAAUUUUUUGAAGAUUGGAGUCGGAACCGAUGAGAUUUUUUUACGUAUCUCAUACCCAAUGAGAAUCAGACUCGCGUAGUUCGGUCGUAUUUAACAAAAACAACUAUUUUUGAAAACAAGAUUUUCUUUUCUUUUUUUUAUCUUUUUUCAAAAAUUCGACAGAGUUUCAGUACCUCUUGGAUAUUGGUUUUCAAAACGGGUAAUUAUCUCUCUUACCCCUCACACUGCUUUUUUCUUUUCCCAAAUUUCUACUAUUAUUCACAAGUCAGUCAACAUGCAAAUCUGAAGCAAAUAAAUGCACAAGUAGCAAGUAGGAUACAUUAGGAUGGGCUUUUCAUUUCAGGUACACCUGUCUUAGAUAGACCCAACCCUUAUGUUGAGUCUCCAUAUCAAAUGCGCGUGAUGCAAACAAAAGUUCCUACUAGGUAUUCGGUAUGAGGUUUUUUAUACUAGGUUUAAAUCCUGGGUUUAUUGUUCUAGACCUGGCUUACCCGAGCGGACAGCUCGAGCCGAGGGGGGGUAGCGUACCGGAAAUAUAGAAGCUUCGCCGAAUUUGCAACUUGUCCGAACCUCGUUCUAAAAUUUGGGAUAAGACUCUAAUAGAAAAGAAGUUACACUAAGUGCACACUUCCCAGAUGAUUUAGAAGACUCAGAGAGAAGAAGGGUUUCGUAGAAGUUUGCAUACAGAUUAUACAAUAUCAAAGCGGUAAAAGCGGCAUUUAGCACAUUAGGCUCAAACAUGUAGAAAAAUAAGAUAAUAGAUAAAGCCAAUCAUAAUAGCUAUUCUAAGCUCGAAUUCUUGAUCCCUGAACCGAAGUUCUGGGUUUCGAUCCCCAGCAAAGUCACCAAAACUGUCACGCCUCCUUUUUACACACCACCCGAAGGUUAGUAUAAAAAAGGGAGUUUUUUCAAUUUUAGUGACAUUAUUCGAAAUGGUAUUAUUUAUUUAUCAGAAUUGCCACUUGGGAUAGUUUAUUUGGUGUCCCAAGUCACCGGUUUAUUUUAAAUCCCAAAUCGAGGAAAUUUAAUUUUUCUUUUGAAUGUUGCGGACCAAAAAUUCUGAAUAAGGAAUUCUGUUAAACGGAGGGAAGGUAUUAGACAUCCCCAGGUUUUGUGGUUCUAGCACGGUCACUUAAACUAUCAUAAUUGGCCUAUUACCUGAUUUUAAUACAUGUUUGAGCCUAUGGUAUAUUUUAACUUACUAAAUUGCUUUUAAUUAUUUUUAAUAGAUUUCAACGUUAUCAAAAACACGUCUUCAAAUCGCGCCACAUGAAAUGCACCCGCGAUCCAUAACACAUUUUAUUUAACGUUGUGAGAUUUGAAUUUGAGUCACAUGAAAUGCACACCCGAGUUUAGGAAGGUAAUUUUAAAUUAUGCGCCUAAAGCAACCACGUAUUUUUCACCUUGCGAGGGCCAUGGAAAAUUCACUAAGUGGCGCACCUCGAGUUCUAAGGAUUUUAAAUACUAAUUAAAUGAGGGCCUUGCAUUUAAGAUUUUAUUUGGCACGACGCACCUUGAAUCCAAUUUUAAAAGGGAAUUCAAACUAAAAUUGGAGGGCUAUAAACAGAUUUUGUUAUCUAAUAUGGCUUACCUUGACUUAUUAAUGGGCCUAACUAAUUUAAACAAAACAAAACUUGGAACUAUUUGUCAUUGAGCCGACGUUAGGCCCAAACAUGGGAAUCAACAAUUUGGCACAAGAGAAUCGAAACCAACUGAAAUGAAAAUUUCGGAAUGACAUUUUAGAUCAUGGAUUUUAAAUUAAAUGGGCAUAGAUUGAAUAAACAAUAUUCUGGGCAUUAAAUUUUUCAUGCAAUUCAGGCCAAACUUGCUGCUGAGCAAGGUAGGCCCAAUAGCAGCAGAUAGUCACACUGUUGGGCUCAAGGGUCAAGCCCAAAUAGCACUAGCAUGCUGUCCUUCAACCGUUCAAGGCCCAAGGAGCAAACCUAACUCUUUUGAAAAUUAAGGCCUAAAGAGGAGGGGACUCUAGUUCGAGUCUCAAAGCAUGUGAAUGGCAUACCAAAUCAGAAACAUUGCCCUGAAUAUAGAGAAACCUUUAAUAGCAAACACAUCAUUUGUCAAUCAUGCUUGAAUCAACCCAACGAGUUUCAAAAGACAAUUACAAAAUUUUCAGUUGACUCAACCUUCUGUUCAGCAUAUUUAAUUGACAAACGAUACCCUAUAGAUUAUUCAGUAACCAAUAUGAAUCUAUCUCCACACUAAACAUACUUUUAAAACACCUCAUAAGUAAAUCAGCACAUAGCUCAAUCCUCUUAGACCAUUUCCUCUUCCUUUAACAUGACUUUUACACAAUAUAAAGUCAAGAAGCCGUCAACUACUCAAUUGUAUGAACAUAGCAACAAACAUAUUAUGAUAACAGGAGAAAUCAGAUCUAUGACAUACUCUGAUCCAACACAUAUGUUAUCCUUCAAGCUCCCUUUACCAUUCAGAAAAAAAAAAAACAAAAUUAAAAAUAAAAGCUCAACAAUUGAACUAUCAUAUAGCUACAAAACUGUAAUAAAACAUUACAUGUUAUACUAAGUACAAAUAGAAUACAACUCUUUAGAGAAAAAAAUUGUCAACAGCCAAAACCAUAUGCAUUAAAGGCAAAUCAGAAAAUAAAGAGACAAGAAAUAAAUCAACUAUGAACAGAUAACUUAAGUCAUGCUUCAAACUUCCGUCUUUUAUUUCAUCUUUUCAUUUGAACUUCAUAUUUAGAAGAGUUUCAAGAACAUGUACCUAGAAAUUAAAAGGGAAAAGAAGUAAAGAAUCAAGAGUAGGAAUAACAGUCAGCCCAGAACCAACAAUACCAACGAGGAUAGUAAAACUUUCACAGCAACCCAAAACCAGCUUUUAAAAAUCCAACUCAAAUUAUCUUCAACACCCCGUGAAUCAGAGAUAACUUCGAAAUUAAAAACCUCAAGAAAAUGAAAGAAGAUCUCCAAUGGAACAUUGAAUUUAUGAUAUUUUUUCAGACUCUUUCAGUAUUUCAGCCGUUUUUCAAUUUUUAGUAUUUUUUUAAUCUCUAGGAUUUGCCUUGUUCAAAAAGAAAGAAUGCCUUUAUAGGCAAGGUAUUAGGGAAGCAAAGCUGAAAAUAAUUUUCACUUUACACUCUUUGGAAUUUUCAUUUUUGCUUAAGUAUCCUUAGUAUAAAAAUCAGAUUUCUGAGUCAUUCCUAAUCCCAGUUUCUAGAAAGCUUCCCUAUUCAGUUAUUAAAGAUUCUUUCACCUAAGUUUCCUAAUUAAUCUUUGAACAAACUGAUACUACCCCAAAACCAAACGGUAUGGGUUAUGAGUCCAAUUGACCCAAUGGUUCAACUAAACGGUCGGCCUAUCCUUCUUUUGUAAAUAGGUAAGGAAACCAAAGCCCAAACAACUAAUUAAUCCCACUAAAUUUGUAAGAACCAAAAAAACUAAACACUUGAUUAAACAAAAAAAAACAAUUCGAGCUAAGGCAACCGAUUCAUUAAUAAAAGUAAACCGAGAAGUUGACUAAUAUAUUAAAUCCGAAUUAACCUAAUCAAACUAGUAAUAACAAGACUAAAAUCAAGAGGGAAAAUCAGAGAUCUAGAUAAAAUUCAACAGGCUAAGAAAUCAUAGCACAAACUUUCUUCUCCCCCUUUUUCUUUUAAAAUUAAUUUAAAAAAGAGAUGGAGGGAACACACAAAUGGAAAUAAUUUAUACUCAGAGAAUUGGUCGGGUUUCAAAGAAAAAGGAAAAGAAAAGAAGAAGAUCAAACAUGCGAAAUAAAACCAAAAAUGGAUACAAAGAUUGUUAAAACUCACCGAUUAAACUUGGAAUAACACUUGAUAUACUGAUUCACAUGAAACUGAUACUAAUCAUUGGUUCUUUGUCAAGAAAAAACGAUCAACAUUAGUUUUGUGGUGAAACGGUCCUUUAAUCAUAAGGAACAAAGGCUGGAGUAGACGCAUGCUACCCGGUUUCAAUAGAAGUUGGUUUUGAACUUUUAGGGCUUGAACUAAGAUUCAAGAUUUGAGGAACUCUGGACGGGUUCUAGGGAAAUGAAUGAUAGAUUGGGAAAGAGGAGGCUAUGGAUGUCUUAGGUUGUGAUUUUAGUAGUGUUUGGAGGUAGCGCCGCUACCCUAAAACGGUGGGAGAAGUAGGGUGGCGUCUAGGGUUAGUUUGGUAUCUGAACGGAGAGAAUGAACAAGACAGAAUGAGGGGGCAUACGUUUGCACAUUUAUAUGUAAAAAGAUCAGGCAGUUCUGAGUCGUUGGAUGAUGGGAAUCCAACGACUAUGAUUGACGGAAUAAAAACGGGGCUGUUUUGUUUAUUUGGAGAUCGGACCGAUUUUUAUAAGCAGGUUUGGGCUUAUUUUACCGGGUUUCAGGGGUAUUCAAUUGGGCUUGGGCAAUUUCAACUAUUUUUGGCCCAAAAAAUCUGAUCUCUCACUUUUUUUUUCUUUUUUUUAUUUCAAAAUUCUUUUCUUUUCUCAAAAAUUAAAAAUUAAGAGCUAAAUCAUAUCUUAAAACUAAAUUAGCCAAAAAACAUACUAAUUAAUUUUAAAUAAUAAUUAACACAAAUAAUUAAAAACCAAAUUUAAAGAAAACUACCAAAAGUUCAAAUUUAAACAAUAAAAAUGCGAAAAUAGUUAUUUUUUGGUGAUUUUCAAAUUUUUAUUAAACAUUAAUUUACUAAUAGUCUAAAAACAUAAAAUUGGAUCCUAAAUGCAAAUGCUAUAUAUUUUUGUAUUUUUAGGGAUUAAAUAAAAUUAAACGAGCAUACAAAAUACAAACAAAUAAGAAAAUUAUGCAAUAAUUCCUAAAUAUCAAAUAAUUAAAAGGAAAAUCUAAUUUUGGGAAUGCUGUAGGAGCAAUUCAUAUGAGGCAAAAUCGCGUGCUCACAACCUCAAUAAUUGAAUGACAGUCCCCGGGGCAAUAUCGUUUUCUUCGAUCGAGGAUCCCGGAUUAGCAAGUGCAUCGACCUCGCUAUUUUAUUCCCGAGACACAUGAUCCACUGUCCAUUCCUUGAAGUGGUGCAAAGUUACCUAUAGUUAAUCCAAGUACCGUUGCAUUCUAUCCUCUCGAACUUCGAAGCUUUUAUUUACUUGGUUUUCCACCAAUAGAGAAUCGCACUUAGCUUUAAUGAUUGCUGCUCCCAAGCUUUUAGCUAGCUCGAGACCUGCAAUCAUGGCCUCAUACUUGGCCUCAUUGUUAGUGAAUCUGGAAGUUUUGAUAUAUUUUCUAAUUGUAUCACCAAUGGGUGGCUUCAAGACAAUGCCAAGCCCGAACCGCUUCACAUUCGAGGCAUCGUCCGUGAAAAGGGUCCAUACUCGUGAUGCAGUACCCAAACAUAGCAGGAGUUCCUUCUCCACUUCGGUACAAGGGUCGUUGCAAAAUUGGCCACGAAGUCAGCUAAGAUCUGAGACUUUAUGGCCAUUCAGGGUUGAUAUUUGAUAUCAUACCCGCUAAGUUCGAUGGCUUAUUUGGCCAAUCAGCCUGAUAGCUCGGGCUUAUGCAAAACAUUUCGAAGAAGGUAAGUGAUUAAUACACAUAUAGGAUGUCACUGAAAGUAUGGCUUCAACUUUCUAGAUGCACUUAUUAAUGCAAGUGCUAAUUUUUUCAAGUAAGGGUGCCUAGUUUCAGGAUGUUCUAGAGUUUGGCUUACGUAAUAGACAGGAAAUUGCAUAGCUUGCUCUUCUCGAACUAGUACCCCACUUACCUCUAUCUCUGAAACAUCCAUAUAUAGGUAAAGUCUUUCAUCUACCUUCUGGGUACGAAAAAAGGCGGGCUUGAUAAGUAUACUUUAGUUCCUCCGGGGCUCAUUGACACUCUGGGAUCCACACAAAAUCAUUUUUUCUUUUUAAGCAAGGAAAAGAAAGGGUGACUUCGAUCUAAGGACCUCGAAAUGAACUGAGCCAAAGUAGCUAGCCGCCCUGUUAGACUUUACACGACCUUCACGCUGCCCACGAUUGUGAUAUUCUUACCGGCCUUGAUAUUAUUGGGGUUAAUCUCGAUACAACGAUUCGACACCAUGAAGCUGAGGAACUUACCCGAGCCGACUCCGAAGGCACAAUUCUCCAGGUUAAGCUUCAUGUUGUAUUUUCUCAAGAUUUUGAAUGUUUCCUGCAAAUGAGCUAAAUUCUCCUCUGCGCGCAGGGACUUAACCAACAUAUCAUCAAUAUAAACUUCCAUUAUUUUACCUAUUUAUUCUUCAAACAUUUUGUUGAACGGGCGUUGAUAUGUAGCUCCUGCAUUUUUUUAGCCCGAAGGGCAUUACGUUGUAACAAUAAGUUUUAAACUUAGUAAUAAUGAAGUCUUUUCCUGGUCUUUUGUGUUCAUUUAAAAUUGAUUGUAAUUGGAGUAGGCAUCGAGAAAAGUUAAAGUCUCGUGGCCAGCUAUGGCAUCGAUCAUACAAUCGAUAUUUGGGAAUAGGAAAGAAUCUUUUGUACAUGCCUUGUUUAAGUCCUUAUAGUCUACACACCUUCUAAGUUUUCUUUUUUUUUUUAGGAACUACAGAGGUACUUUACCUCCCAAAUGGAUCCUAUUUUAAGAAGUUUGGGUUACCUUGUCUUUUAUGAAAGCAUGCUUUACCUCAGACUGAGGCCUCCUUUUUUACUUCACCAACUUGAACUUGGGCGCCUCAUGUAGUCCCUGACCUCAAGGAUUGGGUCCAAAAAUUAGUUGUCACCUCCUCCUACGUUGAGCACAAAUGGCAUGUAUUGUCAAGAGGCAAGUGGAAGGCCAAACAUCAAGGUAAAUUCUCUUCCUACGUUUUAGAUAUUUUUCAUUUGCUGGCAGCGUCAACUUAUUCACGUUUACUUGUGCAUGUAUCAGAGAUGUAUCCCAAAUGAGGCUUGCUCUGCACAGGGAAAAGACUACGUCCGUGAUCCCAAAAUCAGGAAAAGACAAUAAAAGAAAGAGGGCUUCGAAGCUCGAAGACUCUCAAGGUGAGGUGGUACCUGCCCGGAAGUCGAGGAGAAGUCUCAUUCAUGUGGAUUUGGAUUCAACCAUUCAAUUCUUGGAGGAUGAAGAGAACUAUGGUGGACAAUUGGUGCUUAUACCUUGAACCAAGUGACCAAUCGAAGUCGGCGAUGCCUCCGACCCCGACGCCUUGCCACUUGAUGAAUGGACUACGAAGAGAGAUUCGAAAAAAUCCCUCGAGUCCCCCGGGAACGAGAUCGUACCUCAACAAACAGACUGAAGGGGACAAGUACUGAGAGGGUCGAAACUAGCCAUAGUGCCCCAAGUGAGGAGCUCGAGGCCGUGACAAUAUGUUAUUCACUUUCUUUUCCAGCUUACUCCGACGAGAAAAUAAAGGAUUUACGGGCUUUACAAACACCUGAUCCGAGCACGAUCCUCGAGAAAAAAACCCCUUCUGAGAUUAUUUCACUUUGGAUGUUGCUGACCUUAACGAUGCAUCCACCCUUUUCGAGGAGGCUCAACAUCUUCUUUCUCAUGUAAAUGCUAACUUUCAUCGUCGUAACUUCCUCUUUCUUUCCUUUCCUUUGACUGACACAUCUCAUCUCUUGUAUAGGCCAUCGCUAAGUUUAGAGCUGAGCUGAGCCAAUGUGAGGCCGAGUUCAGAAGGGUUUUAGAUAAAGAGAAAUCCAUGAGGCUCCUCUGUGGCCAGAAGGAUGAGGAGCUUAAGGGCCUUCGGGCUAAGUUGGCCAAGGCUUGAAAAAAUGAGACCGAACUGGAUGAGCAAGUAACUAUGAUUUUAAUAAAGUAUGGUCGUCUUAGCCUGACUUUGGAGGGUAAUACUUCGAUAUCUCAGCUGCAGUAGAUGUUGGAGGUCAUUGUGGAGCUUCCGAGCGAGGUUGAUCAAGUUAAGGCUGACUUCCAUAGGUAGAAAAAAAACAUGGAUCAGCUCGCGAUUGAUAAGGAAGUUUCUACAGUCGAACUAACCUCGGUUGAAGCUCAACUCCAAGGUAUUAAAAUCAAGCGUCUGGCCCAGGCCAGGAAAAUAUAGUAGUUAGAAGUGGAGCUUGAUGGAACAUUGGCUGAAACCCACAAGCUAAGGCUGAGGUUGAGAAGAUAAAGGCCAUGAUUGACAAGACCUUUGUCGUGUACUUAAAAGAUGUUGCAGUUGUUCAAGCGGAGCUGAGGAAGGCCUCCGACUGGGAAAAACGAAAUAAUGAUUUGGCCAAGUAUCAAGCCUAGAGGGAGACUCUCGAAGAAAUCCAUGCCCGGUGGUUGAACCUUACAGAAGAGAUAGCCAAAGUAAAGGCGUGGGAAAUCGAUGACAGGUUUCUUGUUUCUUGUGAUGAUGAAGAUGUUGUGAGUGGCUCCAAAGGCGAGGAAGGUGAGGAAGGUGUUCCCGAGGAAGAGGAGGCUCUCGAAGAUACAAGUAACAAUUAAAUUUAAUUUUUGGUUUCAAAGAUAUGUGAUUAGAUUCAAUACCAAUUAAUAAUCAAGAAAUAUGAAGUAGAAAAGAAAUCAACAAGCCAAAGUUACUCAGCAGCGUGGCCUCGAGCUCAGAGACCCCGAGGUAGGUUUAGAGUAAGAACAAUUAAGUAAAAAAAGUAAAGUAAGAGCAAUAGAGCUAAAGGACAAUUCUGAUGAACAGUAAGAGAGAAAAGUAGGAUAGUAUAUUCUUGCCAAUGAUAAGAUGAUCUUACAAAUGAUUGGAGUCUCCUUUAUAUAAUAUGGGAACGUUAAAUGAGGUAUAUUUCUAUUUACAGUAAGGAAUAUUCUUGGACAACUGUCUAACCGCCUAGCAGUCCCUUUUAUAUAAUAGAGGAACCUUAAAUGAGGUAUAUUUCUAUUUAUAGUAAGGAAUAUUCUUAGUACAAUUGUCUAACCGCCUUGUACGGAAUUGUACAAUCAUUUUUUGGGAUUUGCGUCUUGGUCUGGGGGACGUGGCAUGAAUCUAGAUCAUUCUAUUACAAGUUCAUAAUGGUACUAUUCCGGGGUUGAGCAUACUCAACCUUGGUAUGUAUCGUGCUUUGUUUUCGAACUCGGGUUUGAUCCCUCGAGUUCAAACUCGACCUUGCAUGAACUUAUACUUUGGACGAUUUCUUGAGCAUAUGGAUCGAAGGCAUAUGAUCUCUAUCGUAUCCAACUUACAAAUGUAUAAAAGAAGAAGCCAAUCGACUUAUUUAUACCAUACUAAUAACAUUAACAACAACACAAACAGAUAGGUACUCAAUAUUAAUUAUACAAACGUAUAGUACAAACUCAGCAUCAUCAGCAACAAAUAUCUUCAAAGAAUGUGAUUCAACGAAAUAAAACAACCACCAUAAAAAAUAAUAAUGAAAAACAAACCAAUGCUCCAGAAACUGGCUACCCGAAUCCAUCUCCGGUGUCCAUAGGUGGUGUUGGCGCCAUAGCAUCUUGUGCUGUGGUGGCCGACGAGAAAAAUAGCAUAAUUACCAUGGCCAUGGCAAGCAGAAACUUGAUAACUGAGUUACCAUAUUGUGCCAUUUUUUGUUUGAAACAAGUUUGGCUUAUAUUGGCUAGCAGCUGCUGGAGAAUUGUUGUUUGAAUAGCCACAAAUUAUACUUCUCUGUUUGGCUAAAAACUAAAUUUUUAUUUCAUUUUUUGGUGAAAUUUAAGGUACUCCUAGUCUUUCUAGUCACAGUUAGUGGGAACCACAAAUGUGAAUCUCAGGUGGGCAAUAGUCCUCCCAUCUUACUGUGGGCCGCCACCGAAACCUUACAUUUAUUUUUCAUUUUUGGCACUUUUUUCUCUUCUUUUUUUUAUAUUUUUCAUCCGGUUUUCGGCACCUAUUUUGUGGCUCAACUAAUUUUAAUUCACGCUGUAAAAUUCUACUUGGGGGGAAAAGGGGAGGGGGAGGUGUAAAGUAUUCCUUACCAAAUGCAAUUUGGGGAGGUAAUUUUAAUUCACGCUGUAAAAUCUUACUUGGAAGGGAAAAGUGGGGGAGGUGUAAAGUAUUCCUUACCAAAGGCAAUUUGGGAGGAGGGGUGUAAAGUAUUCCUUACCAUAGGCAAUUCAAUCCUCAAAACUCAAACAUAAAAUUUCUAUAAAAAUAAAGAAAUACUUAUCAUGUCACGAUUCUACCACAAUCUUUGAGGUUUGAUAUUUAGCUUCUAAUAGCCAUUGGGUCCAACAAAAAGUUGUGCCUUCUUUUUCUAUAUUUAUUUUGAAUUUAACUUAUAUUCAAAAAUAGUUUAAUUAAGAAAAGAUGCUUUCAAUGUAAUUAAACUUUGCUAGAAGAUUUACCUUUACUCUUGGUGCAAUUUCAGUUGCUCUAGAAAAUCACUUAUCUUAUUUUCAAAUUACUAGUUUUGCUUACUGUGAAUAAUGUGUGUAAUUACCUUUGAAUGACCUUAUAAUAUAAUAAAUUAUGUAUAUUAUCGGUGUAUAGAAGUUUAACUUUUUAAUUUUGUCGUUAACAUUGAAGAUCGUGAGGAGCUGGAUGCAAUGACGUGGAUACAACGAUGGCCGUCCGAUUGAAACUCGGUCAGAAGUAAGUUUCUUGUGGUCAUCGUCACAAUAACCUUUGAAUUUCUUGUAGUGAUCAGUUUGUGUUUGUAAUUAUUGCGAGAGAAUAGAGUAGCAAUAUGUCUUGGAAAAAUUGAGACUAGAAAUAUUUGUUUAAAUUCUCACUUAAAUCUAAAUUUGUUAACACGUGUAUUGUGAACGCUCCGACAACUAUUAAGAUUAUCCUCUUGAGCUUUAAUAAUUUGCAGAGGUCCCUAUUUACAGAGAUCGAAUUUGGGGCCAUCAACUUUUUCCUCAUGUCUUUUGCUCCCACGACAAUAUUUUUAGGAAGAAUAAUAACAAUUACACCUCAAUUUCAAAUAAUUCGGCUCAGCUAUAUAAUUUUUUUUUUAAAUAAGAAAAAAUGUUCAAUAUCUAAGACCGUCUCCAUCCAAUAUUAUAUUUAUUACAAAGAAAUUGUUAUAACAAAUAAGACGACUACAAACACAAGCACGUCUUAGACGCUGAAGAAAUCUCAGACCUUAACAGUGUAAAACCAAACAGUACCAGAGUGUGGUACAUAUCAAAUAAUCCCUGCGUUUCAAUUUAUAUGAACUUAUUUGGUUGGGCACAGAGUUUAAGAAAAAAUAAAGAAUUUUAGAAUUUAUGGUCCUAAACAAGUCAAAAGCGAGCCAGAAUAUUUGUGUGGUGAUAAAAGCUUCGCAUUAAAGGUAAAAUUGUAAGUUUAAGCUAAAUUGUUACCAAAUUUAGAAAUGGGUCAUUCUUUUGGAACGAAAUAAAAAGGAAAUAGGUUCAUAUAGACUAAAACAGAGGGCGUAAUAAUUUUGUCCAACAAAACUUGCUGAUUUACAACUAUGCAAGUAUGUUUCCUUAAGUCCAAUCAUUUACUAGGGGAUCAAACACUAAAACACAUUCUGUGUACACCAUGGAAAGAACACAAAUCACUUUCAAACGAUGAUAUUACCGUUAAGGGAAAGCUUCUGUGCAACAUCACGAUCCCUUGGCCAACUUUUGCGCAGUCAUGAGGCUUUUGGUCAACCAGAUUGCUGUCUCUCUAGAUGACAUUAUGUCAUUCCCAAAUGGUUUCAGCACACCUGCAAGCUCAUCGAUCUUUUCCUGCUUAAGUAGUCAUGCACAAACCUCCUAAAGAGACUCUAAAGCUUCAGCUCUUUGUUGAGUAGAAUUCCCCCAAUCAUCUUUGCGCUCGUUACUAGCUAAUGCGGCUAGUGACUUGAGCUGUGAAACCUUAUCAUCCAGUGCUUGAAGAGCAUCUUUCUUAGCCUGUUUCAUGUCACUAACCAUCGACGCUUUCUUUUCUAGCUCAUCUUUAUGUACAAGUGGACCGUUGCUUUAAGUUGACAUGCAGUCAAUAGCAACUACUCUAGUCUCACUACCAUUUUCAGUAUCAGUGACAUAGCACCUUGGCUCUGCCACAGAAUCUGGUAUUGCCUGCUGCGAAUUUGAUGAAGUGCUUUCUUCAUCAAAGCACAGUGUUUUAACACUGCAGCUUUCACUAGACAAUGUCAUUCCGCUAGGCUUUCCAGAGAUACCUUCCACUACAUUUGUCUCAGCUUCCUCGUUGUCCACUGGACUGCUCAACACCUCAAACUCUUUUGUUUCACAACUCUCCCUAUCACACUCUUCAAAUUGUUUAACAUGCUCAGGAGAAGCGUGUUCUAGUUCCUCGGACCAUGUUUUUGCCCUUGAACUUGAAGAGUUUGGUGUAGUCGUACUCCCCAUUUGCAAGAGUCUCUUAGUUUGAUCAUCCCCAUAGCAAAGAGCUGCCUCACUCGUCUCCCCGCUUUUAGAAUCCUCACUAUCCUGAGAGAUCCUAACUGAGUAGCAUGUUGGAUCAACUCUCUUAGUCUCAAGUUUGGCUUUGAACGUACUAUAAUUGUCCGAUAAGUUUCUCGGCUUUAUGUUAUCACUUUCAUCGAAGUAAAGGACAGGUCUCUUCUCUUUUAGCUUGAACUGUCUGUCUCUGCUGUCUCUAGGACUGCUAGAUUUUCCAGGUGAUGGUCUUGCUUUCUCUUUUGUGCUGCUUGGGGACUUCACUGGAAGAUAGGCAGAUGAAGGGUUGUGACACAAGAGGAGGUAUCGUUGCAAAUGUUGAUGCCUUAACAACUCGGCAGCCUAUAAGAUUAAGGUAAAAAAGAAUGAUAAAUCCUUAUUUAAUAACGUUUGAACACAUGCCGUUUGCACUCACCAUAGGUCUGUGUUCUGAAAUUUUCCUUAGCAUGCUCUUUAUUAUCUGUUUCCUGCAAGCAUUAAAUCUGUUUUUUCAAUAGACUGAUUUGUUUCGUUUGUGGCGUGAUGAGAAGUUGCAAUGCUAGUAUGAAAUAAGAAACACUUUUUAAGGUUGGUACAGAAACAGAAGCUACUUACAAGGUGGAGGAGUAUAUAAUCGGAAGUGGUGACAAAGAACCCCGGUUUAUUUUGUUGAUAAGUCCACUCUUGUCCUGUUGAAUCCAUAUCUCAUCAGCACAUUGUGUAGAAAAUAUCGUGAUAAAGAAUUUCCUUUUUUCUUUUUCGGUAAUAAGGAUAAUUUUUUAAGGUACUGUUUACAAAGUUCAGAUAGCAGAAAGAUCAACUUACAGGAGCUCUAAAUGGCGGUUGAUGUGCGGCAAUCUCAAACAUGCAGCAUCCUAGAAUCACGUUAAAAAUGUUAUUCUUGUUUUAGGGACAUGAUGCGAAGAGCAGGAAAUACAUUACUUCGUCAACUUUCUUACCAAGCGACCAUAUAUCAGAUUUGUAGCCAUAGGGUAUACCAGCAAGGAGCUCAGGGCACAUGUUGCUUGAAGUGCCAGCACCCUGUUUUCAGCCAAGGAAAUAGCAUCAAAUUUGUUCGCAAAUUAAGGAUUAUAUGUACAACUCAGCAUGUUUUUCUCAAAUGCACUAAGCUUGGUGGGGUGGGGUGGGGUGGGGUGAGCACUUUAUAAUAUGUUUACCUUAUAUGUACAACUCAGCAUGUUUCUCUCAAAUGCACUAAGCUUGGUGGGGUGGGGUGGGGUCAGCACUUUAUAAUAUGUUUACCUUACAAGAUGAUUUCUGUAACUGAAAAAAAAAACAACUAAUUGGUUUUCUCAGUGGUCGAGGGAGAAGGAACUUCUCUCUUGCUAAAUAGAUUUUAUAUUGAAUCAGUUGUUUAGGUAAUAAUAGUUGGUUGCCCGUAAGUAAGAAGGUGCAUUUUCCCACUACAGAAACUCAUACUGAGGAAGCAAAGCCUUCUGCAUCUAUCAAUUUUGCUAAUCCAAAACCACCUGUGAAAAGUUGGUUGCCCGUAAGUAACAACAACAACUACCCAGUAUAUUCCCACCAGGUGGGGUCUAGGUAGUUGCCCGUAAGUAAGAAGGUGCAUUUUCCCACUACAGAAACUCAUACCGAGGAAGCAAAGCCUUCUGCAUCUAUCAAUUUUGCUAAUCCAAAACCACCUGUCAAAAUGAAGUGAAUUUGAUUAUGGGUAGUAAAGGAGAAAACACACCCCAAUCAAGCACUUGGUCUGGCAUUCUUACCUAACCGGAUGUCAUUGUCCUUUCUGAUGAAUAUGUUACCUAACUGAAUGCAAAGUAGUCUAAUGUUAAGACGUGUUACUAAGAAAGCUUUUUCUAUUUCAGUAAGUACAGCAUGUCUUUACCUUAAGGUCUCUAUGAUGAACGCGGUUGGAAUGCAGAUGCUCCAAAGUUAAUAAUAGCUGAGUCAUCCAUUUACAGAGUUUCUACAGAGGAACGGAAAACACAACAAAACAAACACAUGCUAUGUUUUAAGCUACCAGGAAGACACAGAAAAGCUUCAUAGGUAUUGAAAUUGCAUCUAACUACCUCUUCAGGAAAAAGUGCUCAUUUAGACUACCUUAUGAUCUCUGCCCUGAAAACCGAAAAAAAUUGCCCCCAUCCUUAGAUUACACCAAAAAGAAACUCUAUAAUCAUCCUAUUCAUUUAUUGUUUUCAAGUUCAUUACUCCUUGUGCGCUAUUUUAAUGGUGCCAUUACUAUUUGGAGAGUCAAUCCAUUAAUUCUUUGAGAGCAAAUUUGUCAGCAUUUUAAAAAUAUAUUUACUUUAAAAUAUGUAAAUAUAAGUACAUUUAUGUAAUUCCUAAAUAUAUACUAUUUAUUUUAAAAUAUUUAAUUUGCACAAUAACUAGAUGUGCUGCCUCCUCGUACUUUGAUCCCUCCAAUCUUCUUGGUGUGGAGGGAGUGUUUGUGAAGUCUGUCUUUCAUUCUCCAGAUACCUGAAAAUGCUUACAGCAGAGGCUGGAAGCAGCCACAAAUGCUUGGGAAAAGGUCGCCUCUACAAACACAGGUUAACCAUAUUGUGCACGAAAAAUAUAGACCAUGUCUGUGACAAAGAAUUUUACGUAAGCAUUGAUUUUGCUUCCCUCAUUUGGUUGGAUGCUUUUGUUCUUUAUUCUUAUCUUGCACUAUAAAAUGGAGAGGAUGGGGUACGCUUAUAAAAAGGUUAGCAAAAUCAGGGAUAACCACUCACAUGUCUUUAUCUUCACAAUAAUUGGUAACGGUGCAUAUACAUCUCCCCUGAAAAAGUCAAGCUUUUCUUGAGCCCAGCUUAAGUAGAAGUAAUUGCUCCUAAGAAAGGAUACUUGUUGCACUUUCAAUUCCUAUAACCACAAAACUGGUUAAUAUGAUGCCUUGUCCAUCCAAGAAUCUUUGUACUCCAAAAUAUAUGGAUGGCUUAAUUUAGCUAUCGCAUUCAUCUGCAACAGAAAAAUAACUGUCUAUCAUCAGAUAAAAGAAUAUUCCCAAGCGUAUCAUGCCACCAAGUUAAACUUUUGAUAUAAGAAAUUAUAAGAUGAGCUGAACAUUUUGUAUGUAAAUGUGCUUGGAAUCAAAAAUCAAAUAUAAGACUGAAGUAAGUAAGUGUGUCGAUAGUCCAUACUGCCUAUUCGUCAAAGUGAAUAUUUGCUUAAGAUAUGUAUACUGCUUUGCGUCCACAUUAUUCACUUCGAGAUUAGGGUUAUUCAUGUAGGGAAAAUCUUAGGUGCAAAGUGCUUUAAAGGUCGGAAUUCAUAUCAUAUGAAGUUUGAAUUGCGGUUAACAUGGUAAAAUAGAUAUAGAGCUUUUAGCCAUCUGCUAUGAGCUCUAAGAUAUGCGAGAUUUUACAAUUAGAAUAUAAGAAGUUAUGAACAACCCACUAAAAUCUCACAAGUGAGGUCUAGGGAGGGUAAUGUGUACGGAGCCUUAUCCCUGCCUUAGAGAAGCUGCUUCUGAUAGACUCUCGGCUCAGAGAAAGUGAUAAUAGUUGGGGGGAGGGUAAUAUGUGCGCAGCCCUACCCCUGCCUUGGAGAGGCUACUUCUAAUAUACCAUCAGCUCACGAAAAGCAAAUUCGCAAUAGUCGAAAAGAAAUACAAUAAUAGGUAAACCACGAAAAGGAAAAACACGAAGAAGUACCAACAACAAGAUAACAAGAAAACUAAAGCAACAAAAUAACUAGUAGUAAUACAAAUCUAUGUUUAAGGAAGUACAAUAGUGUUAUACAUACUACGUUUAAGAAAAGGAUAAAUUCAUGACUACCUACUAGCUUUCUAACCUAGUUCUCGACCUCCACAUCUUCUUAUCCAGGGUCAUGUGCUCGGUAAGCUGCAGAUGUGUCAUGUCCUUCCUUAUCACCUCUCCUCAAUACUUCUUUAGCCCACCUCACCCACUCUUCAGACCCACCAUGGCCAACCUUUAGCACCAUUAUACUGGGGCAUCUGGACAUCUCUUUAAACAUCUUGGUCUCGGUUUUCGCAACUUGUCGGCCACCGGAGCCACUCUGAUCUUGUCCCAAAUAUCUUCAUUACUAAUUCUGUCUCUCAAGUAUGCCCAAACAUUCAUUCAACAUCCUCAUUUUUGGUAUUUUCAACUUCUGGACAUGAAAGCUCUUGACUGACCAACAUGCUGCCCCAUACAACAUAGUCGGUCUAACAACCACACCAUAGAUUUUACCUUUUAGGUCUAGGAGGUACAUUCUAAUCACACAAGACAUUGGGUGUGAGCUUCUAUUUCACCCACCCUCCCCUCCCCGUCCCCUACCCCCUGCCUUAUCCUGAAUAUCUUCAUUCCCAAUCCUAUCUCUCUUAGUAUGCCCAAACAUCCAUCUUUGCAUCCUCAUAUUUGUUAUCUGGACAUGAGAGCUCUUGACUGGUCAAUACUCUGUCACUCUGCCUCAUAUAACAUAGUCGGCCU
rnacentral:lncRNA from 1 species